AAUUUAUUUGAUUGGAUCAUGAAAGAUUUGAUGACACAUAUUUGGUUGAUGCUUGAUUGCUGUUGGUCAUGUUGUGUCACAAUUUUUUUUUCUUUUUUUCUUUUAUAGUUAACUUAAAAAAUCACUAUAAAUAGGAACAUUUUCUUUCAUAAUAGAAAAGAAGAAAAAGACUAGAAAACACUACACAAAACUCUCACACAUAAUAGUCCAAAAAAACACAAAAAGUACUCCAAAAACCUCUCUCACUCACGUGUGAUUUUUCAACCAAGAAACAAUUACACAACAAGUCAACCCAAAGAACAUACCACCAUAAACCUUCAUAAUGUACAUAACUCAAAUCCUUCAAACCUUAUUCCUAACCUUAAACCUUCACCAUGAAUAACCUUCUCCACCAUAACCAUAAAUUCCACCUCCAUCAUCAUACGUUACUCAUAACCAACCAUUCAAACUUCACUAACCUUCAAACUUCAUCAAAAUCAAUAACAAUCAUCAUCAACAACUAUAAACCUCCACACCAUCACACUUCACCAUAAACACCUUCAAUUGAUUCAGUCUGUCAACAAAUGCACCAAAUCAAUAACCAUCACAAAACCUGAAAAAGAAACUACACUCAAAUCUAACCACAAACUGCACAACAACAACCAAACCACAACAAAUCAUAAUCAAAGACUGAGUUGUGAAAGUGGAAUAAGAGCAUGAUCGCACUGAUUAGUAACGUCGACCACCAUAGUGAAUACCACUAUUUUCUUUUGACCAUGAAAACUCCGGCUCAGAGCUUCGAAUUCGGCCGCUGCAAAUCCAUCAUUUGAGUUUGCCGUCGAAACAUGCAACCUCCCUCUGGUACCCUUUCCCCAUUUUAAUUCUCGUUUUUCUUUGUAUUUGAUUUGAAUUUUAUUGUUUAGGUUGUAUGGUGAGUGAAUCUUGUACUUUUCUUGAAUUAAAAUUUUGAAGAUGAACAUGAGGAAGGGUGAGGAAGCGAUGAACGAAAGUGAAAGAGAUGAGAAAUUUCUUUGUUCAAUCUGUUUUUCCCCUUUUCUAUUUUAUUACUUGUUUUUUUUCCUUCUUUUUUUUAAAAUAAACUGAGGUCACGUGUCGUAGUCAUAAUGACUGGUUUUAAGUGGUAGAGGGGAUCCUGUACAUGAUCACUAUGGUACUUGCAUGCCUUAGAUCCUCGUGUGAUCUGGAUCGUGAGGUCCUCCAGGCCCAAAUCUCAUUGUAUAAAGAGAGAAGAUCUGGUCGCAUGAUCUUAAUCAAACGGUCAGGGGAGUUGCGGAUUUUUUCUAUUGGUUUUUUUUAUUUUUUUUAUUUUUUAUUUUUAGGCUUUGCAUUUGUGCCCUUCUUUUUUACUUAGCAUCACCCCUUUUAUUUUUCGCACCUAUUUUAUUUUGAUUUUGAUAAUCAUUUUAACUAAUUAAUUAGUUUGAUUAAUUGAUUAAUUUUUAGAUUAAAAACAAUAUUAAAAUACCAAAAAACAAAAUAAAGUUAAAAAACUGCAAAAAAUAGUAAUUCAAUUGUUUUUAUAGCAAAAACAUUUUUAUAAAUAAAUUUAGAUUAAAAAGGGAAUGGGUGAAUGUAUAUUUUUCUCGAAUAAUCAAGUGCUUAAGACACGCUUCGUCUGAACUAUCAUUUGCCUUCCAUAAACAAUUUUCAUAAUAGACUUAGGAUUAAAAGAGGAAUGGAUGAGUGUACGCUCAUUUGUUUCUCGAACAAUCAAAUGCUUAGCACAAGCUUUGCCCGAAUCUAUUAUUCAUCCUCUGCAUCUAAAAAUAACCCCAACUCAUUAAACUAACUUUUUGCCCUUGUUCAAUCAAAAUAAACUUUUUCAUAAAAAUAGUGUUUUAUCCAUUCUGGCGCAAAAUACAAAGAUACGCUUCAACCUUCAUAGUGUGGGCAUACAAGCAAAAAUUUAAUCAAUCGAAUGUGACAUAAAUACUAUUCUAUAAAAACAACCAACACAUAAACAUUUUUUUCAAAGAACUACAUAUUCUUGAGUUCCUCAUAUUACCGAGGAUACGUAGGAGCGAGACUCAACAUCUCGUCAAGCUCAUUAAUAAAAAAACUAAAAUUUCCCCCUUUUGUAGUUAUCUUUUAAUAAAUAGAAAAACUGCAAACAUCUUUAAGCUAAGAACUCUAUUCCCUAAGCUAAUUAGAAGGUCGCCGUUAAGUACAAUAGAUGUGAGGGGUACUAAUACCUUCCCCCUCACAUAAUCAACUCCCGAACCCGAAACUGGUUGCGACGACCAUGUUUUCGUUCUUGAAGGGUUUUGUCGGUGUUUUCCUUUAAAAAUAAAACUUCAGUGGCGACUAUGUAAUUUAUUUCGAGCGUUAGUGCGCUCAGGUAUUUUUCGCGUCGUGACAACUGGCGACUCUGUUGGGGAUAAUGCUUAGCGAGUCAAGCCUAGUCUAGUUAGUUUUAGGUUGAGUGUUCUUUUUUCUUUGUAUGUUUUUCUUUGUUUUCUUAUGUUGUUAUUUUUAUUGCUUUCAUAUUAUUGUUUUAUUCUAUUUUCAUAUAUCAUGUUGGUUUGUAACUAUCAUUUGAAAGAAGCUAUAUACCCGAGUUUGAGAAAAAAACAUAAUUUAGAAAGGAUGUCGUGUAGUAUUGGCCAAUGGGAUGCACAUCUCAAUAGGUUUUAUACGGAGAUUUCACCUAGAGUAGCUUUAUCCCGUACUUUCGUCAUGAAGUGGCUAGCCCACUCCCGUGACAAGAUUUCGAACAUGAUUCGUGACUCUAGGGACCUUGUUUAGGAUCCAUACCAAAUGUUGAACUUGGAGACCCUGUAGUAUGGCCUACGGGAUGCACAUCUCACUAGGUCAAUGUGAACGUUCCGCCUAGAGGAAAUCCUUUGAGAUUUCACCAUGAAUUGGCUGGCUUAUUAUCAUGGUAAAGUUUCAAAUGAGAUCUAUGAACCUGGGUUUUGUACUUACACAAAAAAAAACCUAGAGCUAACCUUUGUGAGGGGUUGGGUAGAGAAACUUAGAACUAUCCUAUCGUAAAAAGCCUUUUCAUAUAGGUUGUUAUGUUGUCCAAUUACCCAUACGAUUCCAAAUCCGCAAUUUCUCGAGCCCACACAUGGCGUUGCAUUGCAUUCAUUAAAAUAAAAACUCUCAGAAUAUUUCCUUUCAUUUCAUAGCAUUUAUUUUGUUUCAAUGCAUUAAUACCUAAUGCAUACCCUGUCGUCACCCACCAGAUAAAAUCCAAGUGAUCUUCCAUGCUCAUAUUGAACUCAUUCUCACAAGUCAUGGAAGAAUUUAUGCUAAGACAAUAAGCUCUAAAACGCGAAGUCGGUGAAUGGAAAGAGAAAGUAGCAUAGGUUUUGAUAUCCUUGCAAUCUUUGAUGGAUAAAAGAGAAAAUCAAGAACGAAUGGCUGCACAUGUGGGGCACCAUGACACCAUUCCUCAAUCACGAGAUGCCAAUCAUCACUCCUCAACCACGAGAUGUCAAUUGUCCUUCUUUUCACCAUCCUUAAAGGGAAGCAAUAUCUCAAGUCAUGUACCCACCAAACUAAGCGCCAUUUCCAAUCAAUAAACCCUAAGACAUUCAAUCCAAGAAGAUAUAUCACAAUAUUGAAGAAUGAGUAAGGAUAAUUGAAGGGGGUUAUAGUUACAAUCUGAAUACACUUGAACUAUAUUUAGAGUAUCCAACUUUGAGAAGUACAAUGGGGUCAACUGUCAUAAGAACCAUUUGAUCAUGUAUUGUAGAAAGAUGGCUCCUCAUGCUCAGAAUGAUAAGCUCUUGAUUCAUGUUUUUCAAGACAAUCUAACUAGGGAAGCUCUAAGUUGGUACAUGCACCUCAAGAGUGAUCGAAUUCCCUCCUGGAAAGACUAGCCAACUAUUUUAUGAAGCAAUGCAAUGUUGGUUUAGCUUCUGAUCGAAUUCAGUUGCAAGGCAUAACGAAGAAGGACUACGAAACCUUUAAAGAAUAUGCUCAACGUUGGAGAGAAAUCGCUUCCUAAGUUAAACCUCCACUUUUUUGAGAAGGAGUUAUCCAUCAUCUUUGCUGACACACUCUAAUACCCCUGUUAUGAGAAAAUGGUCGGAGCCUUUUCAUUAGUUUUCUCUGAUCUGGUCAUUAUUGGGGAAAGGGUCGAAAUGGGUAUUAAGUAAGGAAGAAUCAUUGAUAAUCUUCCAGAUGCGGUUCAAGUCAGAAAUCCAAGUGUAGAAGAGCAUGAAGAAAAAAACUCGAAUGAUUCAAUGUCAAAUCAUGACGAAGAUUGAAAUAUCGUCCCUUCCAUGGCGAGCAUGUCAACCUCAACCUUUGGGUGGGUGGAAAGGCCAAUCAAAUAAUGAAUCAAGCAUUACAGAGUUUCCUCAAUGUCGGCGAUCAUUAAGAUAUCAUUUUCAUUUAUAAUUUCUUCAUUUGUUAUAUGCAACUUCCUCUAUCCGAAUCCAUCCCAAGAAUAUUAUUCCUUCUAAACCUACCUUUCAUCAUAUUAUUGAAGAACUUAGAAUUCACAUCCACAUCCAAAAUACAGAUGCUCCUAGAUUUUUGCCUCAACACACUUUCUCUAUUAAAGAAUAGAGUCCCCCACCUCCUUAGAUGCUAGACCUCUGGGCACAACAACAUCAUCAACCACCCACUACAUUAGCAACAAAAAGGUCAAGAUAAUCAAGAUCACUUAAUAACUUUAUCCACAUCCAAAUCAAGAAUUCCAAAGACUUAUUUGUUCUAAAUUUUCAACUUAGGUUUGAGCUGCUUCAGCUUCUCUUAAGAAUAUAACUUGCCUUCCCACAAAUCACUAAUGAAUUCCAAACAUCCACCACAAAUGAAAAUAAUCCCUCAUUCUCAAACCAAUAAUUAAACAAUUUGAAAAGCUCCAAACCCCAAUUACGUUGAUUACCUUGCACCCAUGUAGGAUAAUGAUCAUAAAUAGUUCUAUCACCCACCACCAAUCCAUCCACCUUCAACAAAUCAAGCAAACCUUCUAAAAUAAAAAAACCUAUCCAAUUGAUUGCACGCACUUCCCUCCAGAUUAAACCAUGUGAACUUGUGGCCCAGCAAAGGAAUAUCAACUAACUUCAUGCUCUAAAUAAAAUCAUUAAACUCCUUCAUCCUCACCCCGUUAAAUAGACUACUCACUUCUCUCCUCUCAUUCUGAUUUCUAACAGCAUUGAAAUCACCGACAAUGCACCAAUCACCCGGAGCAAAUCGAUCCUUCAACAAUUUCAAACUAUUCCAAAACUCUCUAUUCUUAGCACACAAACAAGAUGAGUAAACGUUAACAAGAUAAAUAGAGAAGCCUCUCCAAUUAACAUGAAUACCAAGAAAGCCUUCUCAAAAAAGACCGUAUCCACGAGCGCCGCAUGAUGAUCUAGUAUUAUAAAAAAUUUGUACACAAUUUUCCUAAUUAAAAGGCUAUUUAAAAUGAGAACAUGGGGAUGGUGUGAGUUAAUGUGCAACCUUGAAGCACUCCAAGCAUAUCUGAUAUGGUUGGAUCCUAGUUGAUGUAUCAUACAUGGAAAGACAUUGUAAGCAAAAGUUAAAAAUAUAACUGAAGUAGUUUAAAAAAUAAGAAUGAAGUGACCAACUUGUAUUAUUCUUGCACCAUGCAUGUGUUAGAAUAAUAAUAGUUGGAGCAUUUUGAUUAUUUGAAUUAACAUGGUUCAUGAGCUUUGUUCCACAAGCCUCCUAUAGUGCAACAUCAAUCAAAUUCUGAAUUUCAUCGCAUAGACGCCAAUUACAUCUAAAAUACAACAUAAACAUAUAAGUAAUCAGAGAUAGGAACUAAUGCAAUGGUUUGGUAAAAGUAACAUUAUACCAUAUAAGUAUAUUAUAUAAAUUUUGUUUACAAUUUGCCUAAUUAAAAGGCUAUUUAAUGCAAAAAGACAAGCCUAGAUAAAAUAAAAUAAAAACAACCUGCUUUGUACUCCCUCUUUUAUCAUGUAUGUACACAUUAUUGACAAAAGACAACACAAUAAAACAAAAAUUCAAAGGCCAUAAAAGGUAUAGACAUCAAUUAAUACAACAUAUCUAUACUCAAAAUAAAACAAAAGCAAACCCUAGCAAAAAUGACACAACUUACUAUUGUUAGAUUGUUAGGUUAGAAGUUAUAUCAAGAAUUCCAACUUUAGUACUCACAGUUUUGUGUAAAUUUCUAACUCAAAAUAAAGUUUAAGGAUUUGAUUGAGGCAUGCUAGCAAUGGACGCAGCAAUUGAACACAUAUUCUGCACAAAUUGACUAUUAUCCCCAAGUGGCGAAACACCUGAACUAGUAGUCCCUUUGCAUUUCUUCUCACAAGACUCCGCCAAACUUCCAGCAAAAUUAGCUCUUUCUUUCACACCAACAUAAUCACGUUUAUCAACAUAAUUUAGAGCUUGUGGAAUAAUCUCUUUUGUUAUUUUGCCAUAAGCUAUCAUACAAUCAUCCAAAGCAGUUUUCAAUUGUGUGUGAUCGGUCUGCGCAUCAAUGUCUCGAAUUUGUUCUAAUACAGCCGGUGCUCGUGCUGCGAUGACUUGGAGUGUUACCCGAACAAAUUCAGAAAUGUCUUGAUUUGUUUUUAGACGAUGUGAAUAUAAAUUUGAUUUUAAUGUUAGAAGACAAAGCUGGUAAUGAGGUGUUUUUUGGCAUACAUUAUCGAUCUUAUCUGGCACACAUUGGAUUGAUUGUAUGAAAAAAAUGGAGGAAAUGGUUAAGAGAAUGAUCAUGUUUGAAAAACUUGAAACCUUCAUUUUGUUUUAUGUUUUUUUUGUUUUUGUUUUUUUUUUCCAACAAGUGACUGUGUUUUUGUUAAUUGAUUGAAGAAAGAGGAUAAUUGGGUUGAGUUAUAUAAUGGCUUUAUUAGGGCAAUGGAAUAAAUUAAUGGUGAGAAUUUGUACUAAUUUAGGAUAUUAUAUAUAUUUUUUGACGUUUUGCUUUAUGGUCGCUGGUCCUCUCAUGAGGUGUGGUAUAAGAUGAAUCAAUGCUACUUAAUUGUUUGGGCAAUUUCUAAAUUUUAACUCUAUUCUUUCAAAACUUUUAAGAAUCCUUAAAAGAAAAUAUAAAAGUAGUAUUACAAUAUAAAUAUUUGCGAGGAAAAAAAAAGUACACAUACAUGAGGCAUGCUCAAUGAAAUUCCUGUGAAAAUAUUAUCAUAUUUACUGAAAGAUAAUAUUAAUUUGUACCUAAGGACAUAAGAUAAUACAUUCAUUUAUAAAAAAAUUAUAUUAAAUAAAAUAAUUAUAAAAUUAAAUUUAUAUUUUUAUUAAAAUCAAUGCAUAAUUUCCAAUACAAAAUUACUUUCUUUAGUUUUUAUCUUGUGUCCUAGGAGCACAAAUUAGCAUUACCCAUAUUAUAAAUACGAUGAACAAUUUUUUUUACUUAAAGUAAAAAAUAUAUUAUUUAUAAUAAAAGUAUUUUUUUUAAUAUUAUUUUAUAACUCAAAUAUUAAAAGUAUUUGAAAUAUAUAAUUGUCAUUGAUCAAUUUUAAUAUUUCAUUAACCAGAAACAAUAUAGGUUUUAUUUAUAAUUCAAUACUUUACUAAUAUAAUUUCUUUUGAAUCAAGGGAUAUAUCAGUAACUUUGAUAAUAGUUGAUUUUCUUAGGUAGAUGGUUGAUUAAUCAAUAAAAUACACAAUAUUAAUUAAUUUUGAAUAUUAAAUUAUGAAUUGUGUUAGUUAAAUCUUUACAUUUUAUUAAUCAAUUUUUAUUUACUAUAUUUUAUGUUUGAGAACAUAUUAACUAAAUUAUGCAUAGUAUUAGUCAAUCUUUGAUACACCAUCAACCAAAGUUGAUUUAUCACGUAAGAUUUUAUUUUUUAUGUCAGAGCACUCAAUAAAAAAACUAAGAACUAUAUUAACCAUCUUUUUACACUCCAGUAACAAACUUUGUUUUACCACUUAAGACUACUUUUUGAUGUCUUGACACAUAAUCAUAUAUGAAUUAUAUUAACCAUGUUUUUAAACACCACUAACUAAAACUCUCUCUCUCUCAAGAGAGAGAAGAAGAAGAAAUAUAGACAAGUCAAAAUUAUGAAAUGUCAUUGUUCAUCGUAUUUAUGAAUAGUGACAUAAAGUGUAUAUGUAAAUUCUUUUGUCAAAAUAGAACUUUUGAAAAGUUAUUUAUAGGUUAUAUGAUUGUUUUUAUUUUUGAAAGAGAUUGUUUUUAUUUUUGAAAGAGGUUAUUUUACUGUUCAUAUUCACUAGUCUUCAUCUUCUCCUUAUUACUUCAUUUUAACUUAGCUUUAUGGAACCCUUAAAUAUCCCUUGAGUUGUCUCGCCCCACCUUAUGUUCUCAAAGAAUAAGUUCUCUUGAAGCCUCCAUGAACAAAAUUCUCUGUUGAAGCCAUAGAUGGUGUCUAUGACAUUCUAACCUUCCUGAUCCAAGUUGGGCAUGUCAGCCAUCAUCUGAUCAUAUUCUUAGCCCUUCCUGAUCCAAGUUGCUCGCGUAUGGGUUUUCCUAGUUCUACUCUUCAAUGUAGUUCUCAAAAUCUUGUCGAUUUGUAAAUCUAUCACGCAAGUUUGGAAUACGCAUAUGGUUGCAUAACUCAUCAAACUAGGCCUAAAAGAUAUGACUGAAAUUUGGAAGCUUUGCAUAAAGGUUGGUAGAGAUGCCAGUUACUCAACUUGCCAUUCCCAAUGCAUGUUAUUCAAGUCUCUAGACCAACUUUUGAAGGAACUCUGGAAUAUGAUAUUGAUGAUUUUGAACCUCUGAUGCUGCUAGGACUUUGGGUUGAUAGUUCUCAUUUCCUCCUUCACCGGGACCUCUCUCUCCUACAUAAAAUGUAGGGUCACUAGGCAUGGAUCUAACAAAUAUAUUGUUGAUAACUACUUUUGAUUGAAGUAUAUCAUCAUCAUCUUAGCUCCUUACUCAUGUCAACUUGUACAACUCCUUAAUAAUGCAAAAGUGACCAUAAUCCUUCUACUUUGAACCAACCGUGAUCUUUAUAUUCUCAGAUAUCAACCUACCCUCAUUGAUGAGUUCAUCUUUAAGCAUAACUUGUAACUCACAGUCUCUUUUAAGAAUGAAUUUAGAGGUGUUAGAUGUACUCUCAAGAGUACUAGCAAAAAAGGAUGCCCAAGCUUUAAGAAUUGGGCUCAGAUUAGCAGCGCUCAACCUUUGAAGAUUUUCCCCUGGUUUUCUUACCCAUUAUGUUCCUGGACGCUAUAACCUUUGUAACAUUGGCUCCCACUCAUCAUAUUUUAGCCGGUUUGAGGAAAGCCUUCUUGGUUGGACCAUACACACAUCAGAAGUCAACCUGUUAAUUAAAGCACUAUGAUAUUCAACUUUUUUACCUCUAACAUAGAAGACAUACCCAACAGGUUCUUGAUUAUAAGCAUUUUCAUAGAACUCCAAAACAAUGGUGCAAUUUUUAUCUCUGAUCAGGUUGUUGAGUUUCAUCCAUCCUUUUCUGAAAUGCAUGUAUACUUCUUCAAUACCACAAACCUUUAAGCAUACUCCUCGGAUACAAACUUGUGAGUUAGAUAUUAAACUACAUAUUGCCUUGGUUAUGUCUCAUAAGCUAAUGGACAUGUGGUACAACUUAUUUUUGGUGCCAUUGGUGCUAAAACAAAAAUUAGAAUAAAACUAAAAAGGAAAAUUUAAAGUAUAAGAUGAAGAGAAUAAGUAGAGAUUACUGCAAAGAAGUAAAAAUAUGGUGGAAAGUAGUGGUGUACGGAAAAAUGACAUCAUUCUUCCUAUUUAUAGGUUCUGAAAAGUACAACGUUUGUCACAAUCUAGACAUAUCCUGUCGCAAUUUUCCAACUGUCACCCCCAAUUAUCUGAUUUCAACGACCACUUCCCUAACGGUAUGAUUUUGUUGAGAUUGUGUCACGACCCCUUUGGAUCGUGCGAUGAUUAUCAUAAAUUAUGUCGUGAUUUAGAAAAUCAUGGCCACAAUUUUCAAGUGGCAAUUCAUAUAUUUUUUUCCUUCAAAAUACUUUCCCCCCUAUUUUUCUAUCUCUAAUCAAAUUUCUUUAUCUUAAUGCUAAUUGCAAAAUAAAACACAUGAAACGACACAAAUAACAUGAAAUUGAAAUGACUAACUAGAAAAAAAAUUACUCGACGGAUUGCCUCUCAUUAAUCACUCCUUUACCAUAAUUAGUUUGUCUACUUGGAUCCUAAAGAUCAGAUAUGACAAGAGAAAACUUUGAUGUAGGAAUAUCUCCUUUAGCAUAAUUCUUUAGCCACUCUGCAUUUACUUUGAAAUCAUGGGCAUCACUAGGAUCAUGGAUUUCCAUAGCACCACUUUGGAAAACCUCUUUUACGAUGAAUGAAUCUGGCCAUUUUGUUUUGAGCUUUCUAGAGAAGAGUCAAAGCCUUGAAUUGUAAAGAAAUACUAGUUGUCUUGGAUAAAACUCUAUCCUCACUAGGUUCUUAUCAUGAUACCGUUUUGUUAUUUCAUUAUAAAUGAUUGCAUUCUCAUAGGCUUGAAAUCUCAUUUCCUCUAACUCAUCCAAUUUCAGAAGUCUUUUUUGACCAACUACUUUCUUGUCAAAAUUUAGAAACUUCACAAACCAGUACGCUUUGUGCUCUAGUUCGAAUGACAAGUGACACGAUUUACCUUAAAGCUGUUGAUACAAAGAGAAUCCUAAGUGUGUCCUAAAAGUUGUCUUAUAUGCCCAAAAUGCAUCAUCUAACUUUGUCGACCAAUGCUUCCUAGAUGUCGCAAUUGUCUUCUCUAAAAUUUGUUUCACCUUCAUAUUUGAUACUUCCACUUGACCACAAGUUUGAGGAUGGUAUGGUGUGGAUACUUUAUGUUUAACAUUGUACUUUUCCAACACACCUUCUAAGCACUUGUUGCAAAAGUGUGCUCCCCAUCACUAAUCAAAACUCUAGGGACUCCGAACCUAGCAAAAACAUUCUUCUUAAAAAUGUUUAUAAUAGUAUAUGAGUCAUUAGCAACAUAAGUAAUGACUUCAACCCACUUAGUAACAUAAUCCAAACAUACUAAAAUAUAAAGGUGAGAGUCAGAUGGUGGAAAAUGACCCAUAAAGUCAAUUCCCUAACAAUCAAAUAUUUCUACCUCUAGUAUUCCCUUGAGGGAAAUUUAAUCCCUCUUACAUAGUUCUAUAUUCCGCGUGUCGUUCACCAAGAAUUGAUCCAACUACAUAAUACUCGCAUCACACAUAAGCUCAAAGAGAAGUUCCCAAUUCAGAGCGAUGAUUACAGACACAAUUCUCAACUUUUCAUUAAUAACGGAAAAAAGCAUAUAAACAAUGAACAUCAAACCCAAAAUCAUUUUCUUUCACAAGAAGAUUGCAUAUAGGAUUUGCAAUCUUGGAGAAGUCUUUUAUGAAACGUCGGUAAAAAUCGGCGUUUCCUAAGAAAGUUAUCACUCAUUUCACAUUAACAGGUUAUGGUGAUUUAUUUAUUACCUCUGUUUUGGCUUGAUCUACCUUAAUACCUUUCGAAGAGAUUUUAUGUCCUAAAACAAUAUUUUAUAUCACCACAAAGUGAUAUUUUCCCCCUGUUUAAAACGAUAUUUGUUUCGACACAUCUCUUUGGGACUAUAUUAUGGUGAUGAAAACAAUUAUCAAAAGUGUUACCAAAAAUGGAAAAAUCAUCCAUAAAUACCUCAAUGGAAUUUUCAAUCAUGUCAGCAAAAAUAGGAAGCAUGCACCUUUGAAAAAUAGCUGGAGCAUUGCAAAGUCCAAAAGGUAUAUACUUAUUUGUCUCGUUCUUUUUCAAUUGAAUCAAUGAAAUUCACAAUAACUCUAUCCAUCAGUGAUAAUGGUGAUUCACUCUCAAACACUUCCUGAACUAUUUCUUCCACUACAUCAAUUUUAUAGCAUUAAAGGUUCUCCUUUUGAUGUUUCAUGGCUUCAAAUACAUUUAAAAUAACAUGUUAUUUUUUAAUCUUAAAACGAGUUCCCCCAUUUUCACAUCAAUUAGAGUUCUACAUGUUGCCAAGAAAGGUAUUCCCAAUAGUAAAGAUGUUUCAGAAUCUUCCGCCAUAUCAAAGAUCACAAAAUUAGGAGGAAACAACAAAUAAUCUACCCUCACUAGCACAUCUUCUAAAACUUCAUAAGGAUAAGUGAUGGAAUGAUAAACUAAAGUAAGAGUCAUCUGAGUUGGUUUUGGUUCCCCACAAUUAAGCUUUCUCAUCAUAGAUAGAGGCAUCAAAUUGAUACUUGCCCCUAAAUCACAAAGUACAUGACCAAUAUUUAGUGGACCAAUAGAAUAAGGGAUAUUGAAACUACCUAGAUUUGUCAGUUUAGGUGGAAGCUUGCGUUGAAUAAUGGCAUUGCACUCCUCUACUAAAGCAAAUUUUCAUGAUACUUCUAUUUACGCUUCCCGAUUAUGAGAUUUUUCAUGAACUUUGCAUACACAAGCAUUUGCUCAAAAUCUUCACAUAGCUUGUAAAUUUGCAAGCAUCUCCAUAAACUUCUUAAACUUACCACUUCCAUCUCUUUCUUUGGCUUCUUCUCAAAAUGGGGUAAGGUGGUUUGACAUGAUAGGAAAUAUCAGGAUUUGGCUCAUUGACAAUUUACUUUUUAGUUCUUAUCAAAGGUGAAUUCCUAUCAAUGAUUUUAUCAAGUGUAUCCCCACUCAGAUAGUCUUCACUCAAUUCCUCACUUUUUUCUCCCUCUGAUUUUUUUCCUUUCUCAUUUUCAACUUCUCCCUCUUCUAUCACAUCCCACUUGUCAUACACUACUUCCUCCUCUCUAAUUUUUCCCUCACCCUCACUCACUUCUUUUAUCUCACCACUAGUGCUAGGAAUGGAAUGUACCAUUCUAUUUCUCAACUCAAUAGCCUUGCAACACUCAUUCUUUGGAUUUUCUAUGAUAUUGCCACAAAACCCCCCCACUUGAACUAGAUUGAUAUGCUAAUUGUUUAGAUAACAGGCCAAUAUGCAUUUCUAGAUUUUUAAUGGAUGCUUCAGUGUUCCUACUCAUAGUAUCCUGUUUCUUGGUUAUGGAUUCUUGAUUCUUGCUUACUUGCUCAAAAUUAGUUUGAGUCAUCUUCAUAAAUUGAGCCACAACCUUUUAUAGUUGAAAUGGUUUAUGUGGUGGUGCUUACGGAUCUUAUUGAACACCUUGGUUUACAUUCUAACUUUGAUUGUUGAUCCACUUGAGGUUGGGGGUGAUAUUUCCAACUAUGAUCGUAAGUGUUGGAGUAGGGAUUGUUUCUUUGGAAAUUUGCAAUUUGAGCUUCUUUAGUAACCCCCUCAGGUACAUAAUUGCCAUCAACAAGCUCUUAUCUGCAAAAAUCAUAUCGUAAUAACUAAACUUGACUGACAUUGGUUAGAACAAUAAUGGUUUCAACUAAUCAUUUAGUAAGUACCUCUAGUUGAGCUAACAUGACAUUAUUAACAUCCAGUUCUAGUACCUUCUUAGGUUAGACUCCUCUUUCUCUUUGUGAGCGAUAUUCAUGCUGGCAUACCUUUUCUAUCAACUCUUUUACUUCAUCUUCAUUAUCUGAUCUGAUUGUACCUCUAAUAGAGGCAUCAAAAACCAUUAUUGCUCGCGCUUUUAGACCUCUUGUGAAAUGUUGAAUAUAUUCCAUACUUCUCAUGUUGUGAUUCAGAACUCUUAUGAAAAAACAUUUUAAAUCUCUCCCAAGCAAGGAUUUAGUAUCACCUUGUUCAAAAUUUAAAAUCUCAUCCAUUCUUUCCACAAACUGCGUAGUAGUGAAAAACCUCUAUAGAAACUUAUCUUCUAGCACCUUCCAUGUUUGAAUGGUCCCAUUUAGUAAACAUUCCAGCUAAUCUUUAGCCAUUCAGAUUACAGAAAAUCUGAACAAGCUCAAUUUGAUUUGAUAAUCAGUUAUCCCAUCCGGCUUGUCCAUCAAACCCGUCUCAUAAAAGUGAGCCUGAUAUUCCCAUGGGUCUCUGAUAGCUUGUCUGUAGAACAUAUUAUCUAUUAAACCUGAAAGCACUUAAUUCUUAAUAUCAAAAGUAAUAAGGUUAGCAAGUUGAAAUCCUAAAAAAACAUGCCAUCAUCAAUUCUCUUGUAGUAGUCUCCCAUUGUUUGUCUUGGUGGAAUCGUUGUGUAUUAUUUAUAUUGAUCAUAUUCAUUAUUAGAAGAAAGAAAUGUUUUCUCUUCUUCUAGCUUUUUCCUAGAUAAUUGAGAUGAUCUAGCCACUUUUCGAUUUUCUAUUGUCGUAUUCUUGAUUUCUGAGUCAAAUGGUAUCAAACUCGAUCUUGAUGUGAAGAAGAUAUGAAAUUCUAGUUAUCAGACUUUCGAUGUCACACGGGUUGUUAUGACAUCCAAUUCUGCACAGACAAGAAUUAUGCAGAACUUAAAAGUAAGUGCAGUAAAUAACACAAGUAAUUGUUUACCGUUCAGUCCAACAGAUACGUCUGGUACCACCAGGGAGGAAAUUCCAACUAUCAUAGUAUAAUCCAGCUAACUCACUCCGUUUACAACCUUCACUUUAGAGCCGGCGUACCGCAAGUGCACUUCAAUCUACAGGGCUAAGAGUAGAGUUCCUACUGGGCACGCGGCGUGCCUUAACACCGGGCGUCAGGAUAGCUAGGGUGACUUUAGUUCAUAUAAGUAAUGACAAUUGUGAGAGUCAGAGUCAAUAGCAUGUGCGAGUGCGCUACCAGCUUAAUCAAAGAUAACAGCACUGCAGCCUAAGGAAGCUCUGAGGAGCACAACACUUGACAGACAACGAACUAGCGCCGAGGCGACGAAAGCAAUAUCUCCGAGAUAACACUGUUAAGCACGAUAGGUGAAGAGGAGAGCACAAAAUAACAUGCAGUGAGGUGAGGGAGACACAGCUGAGAGGAAGGCGUCACGUCAUAAGGCGCCAUUGCUGAUAGCAAGGAACGACGGUCUCUUGAGUAGGAGUACUUGGGGCUGGCAGCGGGAGUGUGCUCCUAAAGGUGGAAGGUCUUGGGCGGGUCGAGCUGAAUGUGCCACAGCUAGCUACGAAGGAAUCGGAGUUGUUGGGUGCAGUAAAGGAGCUGGGUUGAGUCUCGAUGUGUCUCGGUCAGCGUUGACGCCACUGAAGGAAGUAGCCGGUGAGAGACAAGAGCGUGAGAACCAGAAAAAAUGAACACUGAUGGCAGAUCGAGCAUGAGUGCUUCGAGGGGCAAUGAAUGUCAGCAGACGAGUCAGCGACAUCAAGGACGCGAUAGGACAGAUGUCUGUGUGCGCUGGGAAGAACGGGAACGUACAGGAGGUGCUGAACCUGGUGACAGGGGACCAGAACUGUCUCGUAGGCAUGGGUAGCUACUGACAUUAGGGACAUGGUGAAAGGUGCAGCGGCGAGAGUGGACAGUGUACAGCAUGGGCCUAAGAGGGACAGUGGUUCGGUGGGGCCUUUUGAAGAACAGACUGGAGAAGAGAGGCUGGAAGUGAGUGAGAGACACCGCGACUCUGGUCGAUGGUCAGUAAGGGGUGCGGGGGGCAAUGGGUGGAUGAUAAGUCAUAACAUCGGGAUGUGAGCUGCAGGGAUAGUAGGUGGGGGGCCGUUAUCGGGCCAGGGGUGCGGGGUGUCGUCUUUAUAACCAAGGUGAGAGGAAGUACUUGGGGGUGGGGUCGGGUGUUAGAUGACAGAACAAGCAACUGUGCGGGUGGGCGCGAAGGUAGCGUGGGUGGGUCGACGGGUGGGGAGGGGAUGAAUGUCACCGGGACAUCGCAUGGAGCAUCAAGGGGAAUCUUAUUAGCUAAGCUGCAGUGAGACUGACUCGAGAGGGUGGAGAGAGAGGGCAGAGACAAGUCAGCGGCACAGUAGAUAUUCUAGACGCUACAGCAAGCUACAUGGCGAAACAUGUAAGGGGGGGCCAUCAGCAGAGUUAGAAUAUCCGUAAGCGAGGUGUUGGUACCAUAAUUAAGCAGGCCAAGUUUAAAGCACCUACCAACGCGCCCCUGUGCGAAGUUGGGCUAAGAUACAUCUGAUCGGGCCACAACAGAGUGUUCAUAGCGAGCGGAAAGUCAGACAGAGGCAGAAAGAGACAGAAUACAGACUCAGGAGUGACAAUCACAACUGGCACACACAUGGAAGUUAAGAUACAAAGUUGCACGCGCGCAGCAGUUAGGCAGGGAGGCGGAGGACCUGAAGAUCGCAGGGAUAUGUGUUGGUAAGCAACAACUAAUCGGUUGCCGGGCUGGGGAUCGACGCUGUACUGGGGGCCGGGGUGGUCGCUUUUGGUCAAAAAUGUGGCGGAGGAGGAAGGGCCACCGCUGGGGAAAUAGGAUCGACUAGAAAACAAAACGAAGACUGUAGAGACGCCAAAGUGACAAUGAAGGGAGAGGAGGAGAGGUAGGGACGGGUGUGGCCUGCGCACAGGGGGAUGGUCAGACAACUUGUAGCCACGGCACGUAGUCUGGCUAGAUGGCAGCUUGAUUCAGGAGAUGACGGCUGACGUUGCGUAGCAGAUUAAAGAGGGGGACAGAUCGAUCGUCCAGAUAGGUGGUGUCUCGUGCUGUGACGAGUCCCUGCCACGCCUCGGCAUGGGAACAGGUGGCGUCCUGAUACCCGGAGGGUGCAGGCGCCUCAGAUGAGGAAUAUGGCCUUACCUAAGUGUUGCGUACAUCUGUGUAAGCAAUAGGUAUAUGGCGUUGGCGGGGCAAGGGUCAGGAGCAUGGAGUUCGGAAGUGUGGGUAAGUGAGGCGCGUUAGAUAGAGAACGAAUCUUCCAGUAGACAUCAUGGUUGCUAUAGCGAGUUAUCCGUAAGAGAAUUUCCCAGUUGCCCUAAGGGUCAAACUGAGGUAGCAUCCAGAGUCUCUUUGUAAAUAGUCAGGGCCCCAGGAAGGUUUCAAGUGCGCUCCAGGUGGUUCCAGAGUAAUCACCUGUGUCGUCCACUAGAGUCUCGAGGUGAAAUUUGGAGUCUAAAGGGAUAUGUUUUGCGGUGGGGGGGAUGGGAUGCUGGAGGAAAGGGUUGGGAUGGGGUGACGGGAGUAGUUACGGAGCGAGAGCAAUGUAAUGAGCUAUGUUUGGAGGUGAUCAGGUGGGUACGGGGCGGAGGUGAGCCGAUUGGCGGGUGCGUGCCGAACGGGGCAUGUGGGGUAACGGGGAAGCUGCUGGUCGGCGGGAGCAGCGAGGGGUGCCCGCCUCAGCAUGACAGGAUAGGCCAAUGGCUCUUGCUGAAGCGCAAGAAGGAGGAUGUGGCGUCGCCAAAAGGAACGAGCCUCCGAUGUACUAUUCUGUCGAUUGCAGCGACUGCCCAGGCGGCGGCAGUCACAUCGACCGGUACCGGGCAGAUAGGACAAGGGCUCGGACCAGUUGAGGAGCGAGCAUGCCAGAAGGUCCGGAAUGCCCGAGAGUUUAGGCUGGAGAACCUUUGCGUUGAUUGCAGUGCUCUACUUGCAGGCUGCUGCACUUGUAUCUCCACCGAUGGGCCAACGUGCAGAUAAGAGAAGAGGGUUCAGGUCACGUUGCAGUAGGUAGUGCGUAGACUGCUCGUAUGCAUGGACUUGCUAUAGGAGGUCAGACAUGUGAUCAAGCAUGAGUGCCGCGUGCCAUAGGCUUGUGUGUUAGACUAGGAGAGUAGGGAGAGCUAGGAGUUCUUGGUCCAGGACGAGUAUCCAGGACUCUAAAUCCUUAAGCGUAUGUUUGGCAGUACUUGCGGUUGAGAGAGAAACAUAGGGAGUCGUCCAUUGUGGUGACGGUGCAGCCAGGAGAAAAUAAGUCAGGUGUCCGGCCAACCAGACUCAGUGCAAACUCCAAUGCAUUUUGGUAGACAAAGUUCGUCGCCGAAUUUGCUGAAGUGCCAUCCAAAGACUAUAGGUCAUCGCCACAGAUUGAGCCAAUCAUGAUUGGUCCCAGUUCAGUCAGGCUUUCACAAACAGGGGUUGUGAGUCUAUGCCUCCGUUUUUGUAUGCAUUGAAGUGCAGGAGAAUUCAGUCAACCUUUUCAAGCCAUGCGUCUAAAGCUUGCUUCAACCCAUACAGGCUCUCAACUGUACACAGCCGAGUUGGUGUGGGACACAGGAAGCCGCGGUGAGGUUGUUCCACAUAGAGCUUUCUAUUCAGAGGACGCUCAUCAAGAAAGCACUCUUCACACUCCAUUGAACAGUUUAAAUCGUCAGAAUGCAUCUAACAUUGCCUAGACAGCAAUCUGAGGACUCAGUCUAGCAACAGGAGCAAUACGUCUCCACAAAAUCAACCUCUUCUACUUGAGUGUAUGCCUUUGACUUAUACUAAUGCUUGCUUUAUUCCUAGAUAUCUCCUCAGCAGAUGUGUGUAGUUCCACGUCACCAAUGAUUGUCCUUGUCUUAACUGAACUAACUCCCUAGUCUUCUUCUUAUAACUGCUCUAGUUCCUCUUGUCAUGGCCUUGAUCCAGUUAUUCGUUUAGUUUCAUCUUCUUUCCACAUCUUGUGUUCAACUAUGGAUCAAAACAUGGGGGAGGGAAUUUGAGCUUAUCUCCCUUGACCUGGUAAUCACAAACUAUGGGACCCUAUGAUAAGAUCCUUAGGGUGUCUUUCUCUGAAUCUUGAUAGAUGGCAUUUUGUGUUGCAUCUACUUACAUUCAGGAGGAGGUUCCUGUCUCUCAGACUGACUGAAUGUCUUUGAACUGUCAAGGAAGUUUCAACAUCCUCUAUGACAUCGAUUCCUUCCUCUUUAUAUCACAAUAACUUUAUGAUUCCAUCAGACAUUGGUCCUGUAGUUGAACACUCCUGUAACUCUGCGUUAGUGGAGUAUCCUAAAGAAUAACCCUCAUCGACUUUUGGGAUCCAGUUCUUCUUGGUUCACGAUCUGUAGAAGUGCAUUUACUUCCAAAGGAUAUGAAAAGUACUUCAGCAGUGGGUUCCUGCCUUUCCUAUUUAUACAGAGUGAGGAGGUUCCCUUUUCUCAAGGUGAACUCUGUGUGAACAUAGCACCGGGUAUCAUAGCUUAACCCAAAAUGGCAUAGGGAGCUUCUUUGCAUAAUCAAGCUCUGACAGAUUCUUGAAUAGUUCUAUUUUCCUUCAACUAUCCCAUUCGGCUGGGAGUUAGGAGAGACCAUGACUUAUUUCCUUCAUAGACGAAGCAAAACUCAUCAAAACUUGGAAUUUUGAAUCCUACCAUGAAAUCACAUCUAAUUCGACACACAACUGUCCUUUCCCUUUGAGUCUGAUGCAUCAGUCUGAAGACAUCAAAUGUAUCUGACUUCUUCUGAAAAGCUUUCCACCGUGUAAUCUGGAAUGGUCAUCCAACCCACCACAUAUCAUAUCUCACUUCUCCCCAGACUUCAACCUGCAUAGGUACCCAUUAAGUCCAUGGCCAACAGUUCCACGAACUCUGGAAGUGUAGGAUGUCCCAGCUUCGAUGUGAAUCUGUUUCUGCCCACCUGGCAUUCUCCACAGACUCUUCUUCAUCAAUAGCAGCUUUGAAUUCCUCUGACUGCUUCCUUGGAUAUGAUCUUCUUCAUUCCCCUAGUGGGAAGAGUGUCCAAGGCGUCUAUGCCACAGCUUCACCUCCUGUUCUUCCUUGGCUGAGAUCAGAUUGUGGAGAAUUGAGACUUUAGGUUCCGACAAUAGCAGUUAUCUUUGACCUGGACCUCUCAUAACUUCCUGAUUGUCAAAUUUGCAGCAAUACUGCUCCUUAGAAAACUGAACAUAGAACCCUCUGAUCAACAACAGCUGGCUUAUGCUGAUGAGGUUGCAGUUAUCCUCUUAUAACAACACAUUAUUCAGUUUUGGACUCCAGAGCAUCCAGCUUACCCCACACUUUUAUUGUUCUUAGCACCAAUCACCAAAUGUCACUAGCUGGUAGGGUGAGUUGAAUAUCUACCAAUAGAUCUUUCAACCAGUCAUAUGUCUUGAGCAUGAUCUCACCUGUCAAAGUACCCAGUCUUCGUUUGGUAAGAAGCCCUUAGAGCUGUGUGAGCUAACCUAGCAUACCAUUGUCCUUCUUUGUUGGAACAUGGUGCCUAUAUGGUCAUGCUUAGGCCUGACAGGAGGGACUUGGUCGGUAAUCUCAUGACGCCUGUACCAGCAAGCUUUUUAUAUGCCGCAACCUACCACCACGGUGACUAUCUCCAUUUCUGAAUUCUCCUCUUCGAUAUUAGUUCAUCCGGUUCCCGGAUCUUUGAACAUUGGAUGUGACCUCCGCUUGAAUUUCUGACUUUUAGCCUUUGGGCGUUUGCGGUUGCCCAGGCUGAGGAAUCUUUUCCCAAAGCCUAAACCAGGAUGUGUUCCAGACUUUUGUCCCACCUUAGAUCUCUUUCCAAGGUGUCAGUUCCCUUAUUCAUCAUUCUGAUGAUGUUAGUCAUCUGAUUCAGCUUGAGGUCAGCAGAGGUUAUCCUCACCGUAUUUAACCCUCUAAUGAUUCCGUCAGAUGCAUUCUGUCUCUCAUCUUCCAGCUCCUUGAUGAAGUUUCUUCUGCUUUUUCUCCUUGACAGCGCACUUCUACACUGGUGACACACAGCUUCUGAUACAGCUGCACGAAAGUAUCAGACUGUAGUCACAGGGUGACAAUAUAAGCAUGCUAAGCACUGAGUCAUCAUAGGAGACAGGUGGCACAAACAUACCUGGCGACGUUUAAAUGCAGUGACAUGUAGCAGAUUAGUCCUUCAGCAUUACUUUCAGAAUCUCCUUCAGACCAUGUGAAGCUUAGCCCCCUUCUUUUGGCAUCGGUGAGGUCAGUAGGGCAUUCAGCUCUUGACGUGUCCAUACCCUUCACAACCCCAUGGGCGUGAGGAACACUGGAUUCCCAUUGCCUUGGUUGAACUUUUCUUUCUUCAGAAGUUGAUCUUUCUUGAUGUCAGGGCGAGAUGUCUUUCGACAUUAGGCUACCUUCUUGAUCAAUCUUCCUUCCCCGAACUUCGUCUGACCUGUCUCACCAAAGCAUGCUAAGUGCCUUCUGAUACUGCUUCAUCAACUCCAAUAUCUCUGACUUAUGCCUCCCUUCCGCAUUAGAAUACAAAAGCUACCGCUUUGUUUUUUCUUUUCAAGCAUCUCUCACCCAAGCCACAUUUCAAAGGUUCUGGAGAGCAACCAAUGAGCUCAUCCACCUUCAUAUUGCAGUAUGUCCUGAGCCUCCUUCUAGGUGUGAACCUUCGAUAGCAAAAUCCCUUAGGCAAGGACCUUUUGAGAAUCUUUCUUACACGAGUUUGCUCUUCAGCCAUUUUCGUCAGCCCCCUAAUCCACCAGAGGUGUUUGCAAUUUACAGAUUUCAUGGAGAAGAUCAUGAACUAUCUCGGAUCCAUCCUACUUCAUCCUCCGAUUUCUCCAAAGCUUGGUGGUCAACAUCUGAAGUUGGACAUAUUCACCUUAGAAGUACGCCAUCAUGAGUUUAAUUCUUGAGGGUAUCCAAAUUCUUAGCUAGCUCACAUGUGGUGUACCAGCCUGGACGAUGUUCUUAUGAUUCCAUUGAACAUGUAUGCAAGGGCCUAGAAUUCCAAGUGGGGGUCUUACUGCCUCUUGCUCCUUGUCCAAUUCUCUUUCAGGAAUGUGCACAGCCUGAGCCAUGCUUCAAACCUUCUCCGUUGGCUGUUCACCAUUCCUUGUUGACGAGCUACUCUAGACUUUGCUAUGCUAGAGACGUUAAGAAGGCUAUCCAUGACGAGGCUUCCAUCAUUCAUAGUUAGAGCCAUCCACCACUGGGUGCUUUUGAGUGUUGCCCUAAUCCUUGUCCAUGGGUACUCGUAGACAAGAACGUUCCCUAGAAUCCACCAGAAAAAAAAAAAAUAAAAAAAACAGGCCGUGGCCGCCUGGGAUACAAAUUAAAUUUCAUAUGAUUACAGUGAAGUUCGAAUGUCCACACGGGUUGUUAUGAAUCCAAUUCUGCAAAGACAAGAAUUAUGCAGAACUUAAAAGUAAGUGCAGUAAAUAACACAAGUGAAUUGUUUACCCAGUUCAGUCCAACAUUACCUACGUCUGGGCUACAAGCCAGGGAGGAAAUCCACUAUCAUAGUUAUUAAUUCAAAGCUAAACUCACCCGUUUACAACUCUUCUCACUUAAUCCCUACCAAUGCAAUUUCAAUCUUACACUAAGAUCAGAGUUCCUACUCACUCCCCCUUAAUCACCUCAGUGAUUACUACCUUUAAUCAAUAUAAAGACAAUUUGAAGUCACACUUCAAACAAUUCUUGAUUGUGCUAACACUUUAAUCAAGAUACACAGCACCACGCUGAAAAGCUAGAGUGACACAACACUUACAACUCAAGUGAACAGCCCUACACCAAGCAAUCAUCUACAGAUUGACAUUGGUUACAAGAUAUGUCUAAUACAAGACUCACAAAAUCAGCAGUGAGUAUGAUGGACACACUAAAACUUCACACCUCAAAAUCCCCAGUUCUGAAUGAAGGAACGACUUCCUUUUAUAUUGCAGAGGUACUUGGGCUUGCACUUGUAUUCUCCUAAAUUUAGAGUUCACUGCCGAGUUCCUUAAAUUCCAGCGAUUCUACGGUUACUCAACAAUAUAGGCUUUUGUGUUAGGCUCGCUUAAAUGUAGCUUGGGUUUGUGAUUUCCCUGGAUUUUCUCUCGCUGUUAGAAUCCCUGAAGAAUAGCCCUGAGAGAAACGUGAAACAGAAGAAACUAAACAACCUACAAGUCUAUGAAAUGCUGUCAGGAAUGAAUGUCAAACUUCCAGGCUUGAAAGGACUCAUGGAUGCUAAGUCGUUGUUCCCUGAAACAGACUGUGACAGUUUGCCUGCAACUGUACAGGACGAAACAUCGUUCCCAUGCAUUGGUCUACAUACAGCUCUACAUUAAUACAUUGCAAGCAAUUUGGACGAUUUACAACAUUAGCUUAAUGACAAGUUCGGUUAUCCUUUUGAAAGAACAAUACUGAGAACAUAACUGAGUGGCGAAACACCAUCGUCUGGUUCAGUUAUGCCCGAAUGAUGAUUCAUAACAAAUCCCAGUUUGCAUUGCAAGAUAGUAGACGAUGCCAGUUUGGUAUUCCUUGAUACACCAGAACUGGAAGAUACUGAGCGUUUUUAAAAAACAGAACACCAACUUGUUCUAUUCCCUCUAGUAUUCUCUGACAGGAUGAAUGUACGAAUCAAUUUACAUCACUAAAUCCGUAGAGCUAACCUGCAGUAAGCUAACUCAAGUAUGUCAUGACAUUAGUCAAGACAUCAGAGUACAGUUAGAUAUUCUAACCUACAAUGCAGUUACACAAACAUGUCAUGACAUCAGUCAAGACAUUAGAAUCCAACUAGUGUUUUACCAUACAAUGCAGCCAAUUAAACACCUACAAACUCCCCCUUUGGCAAUUUUUUGGCUAAAACACUUUGAUCCCACAACAGAGUUCAUAGCAGCGGAAAUCACACAUCUAGCAGGAAAUAGACCUAGCUAAUACACUCAGAGUGACAACACACUCACACACAUGGAAGUUAAAUACAAACUUCACCACACAUUAGCUGCAUGGGAGGGAGGGAAUCUUGAAUCUGUCAUGAAUAUCUGUUUUAACACAAUAAUUUGUUGUCCUGGGGUAUCACCUGUUACUCCCCCUUUUUGUCAAAAAUGUUGCCAAAGCAACACUUUAAAUUACAGACCACAGAAAAAAAACAGAAUUACACACAAAUGACAGAAUAAGACGGUGCCUCACAGUUUCAACCAGUGAGCACCCGCAUGAUCUGCAAACAGCAUUUGAUCAGGUAACACCGACUUUUGCUUUAAAGGUACAACCAUAUCAGAGCCAGACUUGUUUCGACAUCCAAACACCCUGCUGAAGCAGCGCUGAACGCCUGGAGGGCAUAGGCCGCCACAUUAGAAUUCCUACCUCUGUGCCAAUCUGUUGUAAGGCAAGCAUGCAUCUGUUGACCCUAGAGCAUAGUCAAUUGUAAUAGGCCGAGAGAAAACAAUACAUUCCAACACUGUGCUAUAAGUCUCAGAGAAGACAUUUCCCAUUUGCCCUUAAGUUUUCAAACGAGUAGCAUCCAGAGCCUUGUAAAUAGUCAGCCAGUUAAGUUCAGUGCACAUGUUCCAAGGGAAAUCACCUUGUCUCACUGUCCUAUGAAAUGAGUGAAUGAAAUUUGGUCCUGAUUGUGGAUGGAAAUUCUGAAAAUGAUGGCACGGAUACACAGAUACAUCCGACAUUGAGUGACAUUGACCAUGAGCAGUGGUUCAUCAAACGUUGGAAAACUGCCCAGAGCUAGUACAGCUCAGCCGGAAGGGAUACACAUCUCUCUUGCUGAAGCCAAAUUAGAUGUCUCCCAAGAAGAACAACCUCUGAUGUACUUUUCUGUCAUCAGCACUCCCAGCCCUCACAUCACGGUACCCAGAUAGGACAGCUAGAAGCCAUGGAGUAAGCAUCGCCAGAGUCCACAGAGUCGCCGAGAGUACUGAGAACCUUCGACUGAUUCAAGGGCUCCUGAUUAGCUCCUACUUGGAGCUAGCACACACUCCAACGCAAAGAAAGCAGUCACUUGCAGUAGGAAUGUAGACGCCUAUCUCGUCAUACAGACAGACACACUAGGCCUCCAUCAUCAUUGUAGCAACUAGAUGAGAGGACAGGAGCUCUGUGCCGAGUCAUUACCAAGCAAAAAGCUAACAUGCUUGCACUUGCGUGAGAGAGAAAACAUAGAGUCCGUCCAUGGGUUGACGUGCAUCCAAGAACAAGUCCUUCCCCAACCAGACCAUCAAACUCAAGAUGCAGGUGAACCAAAAUGUCUACCAUUGUCGACAUCCACCAAAGACAAUCAUUCACAUAGGAUUGAGCAACAGGCUUUUCCCUUCUAUCUCAACAAACGGUAUUAUUCCAAAACUUUGUAUCAUGAGGUAGAAAUCAGUCAACCUUUCAUACAUCUCGAGGAGCUUGCCUCAACCCAUACAGGCCGCAACUGUACACAGCUUAGGUUGGUAGAACAGAACCCUGAGGUUGUCCACAUAGACUCUCAUUCAAGUACCACAGAAGCACCUUCACAUCCACUUUGGAACAGUUAACAGAUGCAUGCACAACCUAACAGCCUCUGAUGGACUCAAGCCUAGCAACAGGACAAAGUCAUCAAAAAUCAACCCCUCAACUGAGUGACACUUGAGCACGAAUCUGCUUUAUCAGUAAUUAUUCUCAUCGACUUGUUUUGUAAUCCACUUGACAAAUGAUGUUGGUCUCUCAAGGUCUCGGAACUAACCCCCAUUCUUCAUCCCUAAAAAACUGUCAAAAAGUUCCUGUGCAAGGCAUGAUCCAGUAUGCGUUAGUCAGUGCUCUUCACUUCUUUGUGUUCAACUGGAUACAAGACAGGAAUAUUGAGUCUUUCCCUUGACCUGUCACACGACCAUCGGAUCCCCUAGAUACCGACAGCUUAGGGGGUCUUCUGAAUUCAUGAUAGAUGCCAUUUGGGGGUUGCAAUCUACUUCACAUUCAGAGGAGGUUCCUGUACUUUUAGCUUGACUGGAUGUUCCUGUUUAAUCGGUAAGGAAUUUACAUCCCUAUGACACGAUCUCCUCCUCUUAUAUCACCACAAUAAACAUAGGAUCCAUCGCAGGACAUUGCGUAGUAAACACUCCGUAACUCGCUGUUUAGUGGAGUACCUAGAAAAUACCUCAUAACUUGGGAUCCAGUUCCUUUCUGUUCGAUCAAAUGUGAGAAUGUAGCAUUUAUCCAAGAUAGAAAGUGACUUCACAGUGGGUUUCUGCCUUCCAUAUUCUAUCCAGAGGAGGAGGUCCUUUCUCAAGGUGCUCUGUUGGAACCAUAGCACGCGUGUUACAUAGCUCAACCCAAAAGUGCAUAGGGAGUUCUGAGAAUCAUAGCUCGUACAGAUUCUUUAAUAGUUUCAUUUUUUCCUUAACUAUCCGAUUCUGGCUGGGGAGGUAAGGGGAGGAAUCAUCGACUUAUCCUUCAUACGAGCAAAACUCACAAACUUGCAUUUUUGAAUCCGUACCAUGAUUCACUCUAAUCGGACAACACAACUCCGUUCUUCCCUUGGAGUCUGUGCACAAGGUCUGAAGACAUCAAAUGAUCUGAUCUCCUCUGAUAAAGCUAUCCACGUGGUACUGGAAGGUCAUCAACCCCAUCAAUGCAUAUCUCUUCCACCAGCUUCACCUGCAUAUGGUCCAUGAAGUCAAGUGAAAGUUCGCAGAACGUCGGAAUUUAGGAUGUCCCCAUCGGAUGUACUCGGGGCUGCCCCCUGGCAUUCUCUCCACGACGUCUUCCUCAUCAAUUAACAGCUUUGGAAUCUCUGACUGGCUUCCUUGGAUAUGAUCUCUUCAUUCCCUGUAAUGGAGAUGUCCAAGGCGCUAUGCACAGCUCACCCUGUUCUUCCUUGGCUGAAUCAGAUUGUGGAAGAAGUUGAGACUAGGUUCCCACAGAUAGCCAUUAUGCUUUGCGCUGGAUCCUCUCCGGUAAGGUCCUGUGCACCAAUUGUUCACAAUACAUAGCCCUUAUAAAGAACAUAGACCUUGAUCCAACAGCAGUGCUUAGUCUGGAGAGUGCGAGUUAUCCGUGCCUAAACAACACAUAUUCAGUUUUGGAACUCCAGAGCGCCGCUUACCGACACUUUUUUCUUGCACCAUCACAAAUGUCACAUAGCGUUGUGUGUAGAGUGAAUAUCUACCAAGUAGAUUCCAUGACCACGUCAUAUGUCUUGAGCAUCCACGUCAUGACAGUCUCUUGGUCGAAGCCCUUAGACGUGGACUAACCUAGAUACCAUGUCUGCUUCUUGUUGAGACAUGUGCUUAUGUCAUGCUAGGCUGACAUAGGCGGACUGGUUCGGGAACCUCGAGCCUAGCAAAGGCUGUCUAUCAUCCCAAGGGACCAACCACACGGUGGACAUCCCAUUUCUGGAAUCCGUUCGAGAUUAUCAUAACCUGGUUCCGAGAUGUUGAGACAUUGAUGGCUACCGCUCCGUUGAUAUCUGAACUGUCCUUUGGUGCGUUUUGCGUUCAGCCUGAGGAGACUUUCCCAAAGCCUAACCAGAUGUGGUUCCAGACUUUUGUCCCACCUUAGAUUCCUCCAGAUGUCAGCCUUUAUCAAUCUGAGGAUUUAGUCACGAACUAGCGAGGUCAGCAGGGUUUCUCACCAUAUAGACCCCUAUACGUCAGAUGCUUCGUCUGCUCACUCCAGCCUUGAUAGUCUCUCGCUUUUCCCUGGACACGCACUCUCACAUGGUGACACACAGCUCUUAUAAGCUGCAGCAAGUUCCAUCAAAGUCAGUAUCUGCACUUGAGUCAUCAUCAGUGCACAAACAUGGUUAAUGCAGUGACAUGUAGCAGAUUCUCCUUCAGAUUCACUUUCAGACCCUUCAGACCAGUAUAGCUAGCCCUUCUUUGCAUCUUGAGGUAAGUAGGCAUCAGCUCUGACGUGUCCAUACCUUCACACCCAUACACUGGAUCCUGCCUUGGGAAUUUUUCAGAAGUGAUCUUGUGAGUCAGGCGAGAUGUUCUGACAUAGGUCUACUCUUUGAUCAUCUUCUUCCGAACUUGUGAACUGUCUCCAAGCAUGGCAAGCUUCUGAUAUGCUUACAUCACCUCCAAUAUACCUGCUUCUGACUCCUCAGCAUUAGAUACAAAAGCUACGCUUUGUUUUCUUUCAGCAUUCUCACACAAGCCCAUUUCAAGGUUUGAGAGAACCAAUGAGCUCAUCCACCUUCAUAUUGCAGAUGUCCUGAGCCUCCUCUAUGGUUGUGACCUUCAUAGCAAAUCUUAGCAAGGACCUGAGAAUCUUUCUUCAAUCUCUUCAGCCAUUGUUCCUCACCUAACCACCAGAGUGUUUUGCAAUCAAGAAUAUUCAAGUGAAGUCAGAAUAGUCUCAUCCUUUCAUCCUCAGAUUUUCAAACUGUGGUCAACAUCUGAAGUUGACAUAUCACCUUAGAGUACCUUAUGAGUUAUCUUGAGGGUACCAAACUCCUUAGCUAGCUCACAGUGGGUACCAGCCUGAAGAUGUUCUUACUGAUUCCAUUGAACAAGUAUUCAAGGCCUUAGAAUUUCCAGGGCUAAUGCCUCUUGCUCCUCUGUCCCAUUCUUCUUCAGGAAUUUGCACACUGAUUCCAUCUUCACCUGUCUUCGUUGGAUGUUCCCAUCCUUUGUUGACAGCUCUCUAGACUUUGCUAUCUAGAGACCUUAAGAAGGCUAUCAUACGAGGCUUCCAGUCAUCAUAGUUAGCCAUCCAAUCAUGGGUGGUCUAUUGAGUGCCUAUAUCCUUGUCCAUGGUACUAAAAGUAACUUCCUAGAUCUCACCCAGAAAUUAACAGGCAAGGUGCCUGCUCUGAUACCAAUUGAAAUUCUAGUUAUCAGACUUUCGAUGUCACACGGGUUGUUAUGACAUCCAAUUCUGCACAGACAAGAAUUAUGCAGAACUUAAAAGUAAGUGCAGUAAUAACACAAGUAAUUGUUUACCCAGUUCAGUCCACAUGACCUACGUCUGGGGCACCAAGCCAGGGAGGAAAUCCACUAUCAGUAGUAUAAUUCAAGCUAAACUCACCCGUUUACAACUCUUCACUUAAUCCCUACCCAAUGAAUUUCAAUCUUACACUAAGAUCAGAGUCCUACUCACUCCCCCUUAAUCACCUCAGUGAUUACUACCUUUAAUCAAUAUUAAAGACAAUUUUGAAGUCACACUUCAAACAACUUGAUUGUGCUUAACAACUUUAAUCAAGAUACACAACACUCACGCUUAAAAGCUUAGAGUGACACAACACUUACAACUCAAUGAACACCCUACACCAAAGCAAUCAUCUACGAGAUAACAACUUGGUUUACAAGAUAUGUCUAAUACAAGACUCACAAAACAGCAUGAAGUAUGAUGGACACACUAAAACUUCACACCUCAAAAUCCCCAGUUGAAUGAAGGAACGACUUCCUUUUAUAUUGCAGUACUUGGGCUUUGCACUGUAUUCUCCUAAAUUUAAGGUCACCGAGUUCCCUUAAAUCCAAUCUAGUUACUAACAAAUAGGCUAUUGUUAGGUUCAUUAAAUGUAGCUUGGUUGUGAUUUCCUGGAUUUUCUCUCAGUGUUGAAUCCCUGAAGAAUAGCCUGAGAAAAACUGAAACAGAAAAACUAACAACCUACAAUCUAGCAUGAUGCUGUCAGGAAUGAAUGUCACAACAUCAGCUUGACAUACAAGGACCAAUGCUAAGUCUGUUUUUCCGAAAACAGACUGUACAAGUUUGCUGAACUGUACAGGACCAAACUGUCCAUUCACAGUAGCAGCUUACAUAUAAUACAUGUCAAAGCAUCCAAUUUGACAUUUACACAUUUAGCCUUAAACAGUUCUGUUAUCCUUUUGAAGAACAAACUGAGAAACAUAGUGAAGUGUAGCAGAACCACUCACGUCUCUGUUCAGAUAGCUGUCAAUGAUGAAUGUCAUAACAUCCAGUUUGACAUUCAGAUAGUAGGCCUUAUGCCAGGUUUGGUAUUUCCUUGAUAACCAGACUGGAAAUGAGUACUGAGCUUUAACAGAACACCAACUGUCUAUUCCUCAGUAUCUGCUGACAGGGAAUGAAUGUCACCAUCCAAUUUGACAUUCAAUAAAUCCUGUAUUAGCCAACCUGCAGGUAAGCUACUCAAGAUUCCAGAAUAAGAAGAACAUCAGAGUACAGUUAGAUAUUCUAACCUACAAUGCAGUUACACAAACAUGUCAUGACAUCAGUCAAGACAUUAGAAUCCAGCUAGUGUUUUACCAUACAAUGCAGUCAAUUAAACACCUACAAGAUAUUCAUCCUCUAUCAAAUGUAAUUUUGAUGAAGACUAUCAAAGAAGAAAAAGCUUAAAAAGUCAAAUGAUGAAUACUUGCCAAUUUUAAAGCUUAAAUCAAGAUGUUUGAUCAUGAUUAAAGUAUGUAUAUUUCUUUUCAUCAUAAUGUGUUGGUGAAAGGUGUUUGUAAAUAGAAAAUGAUGUACUUUCUGAUUUUUGUGAGAAUCAAUAUAGUGUGUGAUGAUUGUAAAAAAUGUUCUUUGAAUUAGGAUGAUUUAAAGUCCACCAUAAGUUUGGUGUUUGUUGUUGUAAAAAGAAAGUAAUGUUCUUUUUUGUGUGUGUAUGCUUUAGAAGGUUGUAAAGAAGUCUUAGUGUGAGGCUUGUACAAGGAUCUAAACAUAGUAUAAAAUCAUUUAAAGUGUGAAAUGAUUAGAUGUACCCUUGGUUAUAAGGGUAACUAGUAUAAUUGCUUGUGGUUUUUAUUUUUUAGCACUUUAAUUUUUUGCAUUUUAUUAUCCUAAAAACAUAAUAUAUUCAUACUUCCAGAAAAAUAACAAGUUAAGAAUUGUUGCGUAAAAACAAAAAUAAAUAAACUGGAUAACCUUAAUUCACCUACACAUCUUUUAGGUUGCAUCUCAUACUUACAUCUAAACCUCGCAUAAAUAGUUAGAAAAUACGUUAGUAGUUGCACCAAACAAAAACUGAAUAAGAGUACAAAUUUAAAAAAUAAAAUAAAAUAACAUAAAUAAAAUAAAAUAAAAAUUUAAAAGUAAAAAGUGUAGCACAAAAAUUGUCGUGUUGAAAUAAUUCAACAAUCUUUAACAGCGAUGCCAAAAACUUGAUGCAUAUUUAAUAAGUGUACUAAAUCUCGUUGUAAGUAAUAAAAAAUCUUCAUAUCCACAUGGAUUAUUUAACUUUAACAAAAUAAUUAACAUUCUAUAAUAGUAAAAUUGUGGGUAUUCGAAGUUUGAUUUGAAAUAAUAUGCGUAAAUAAAAUGUUGAAAAAUUGAUCAGAUUAAAAACGAAUAGACUUUGAUUCGAAUCCCCUACAUGUCCCUGUUGAUGCCAAUAUCUAUUUAUCCUAAGUUGAUUAAUAAAAUAUUACGAUAGUUUAACUAAGUCAUUAUACUAAAUUUCUUAUUGUAUAACUCAUUAUUCUACACUACAACUCCCCAAUUCCUUAGGUUAGUUCGCAUAUAAAACAAGCAAUUUAUAUCGUUAAACCUCAAGUCAUAAUUUAUAAUUUAUCACUCCUAAUCUAUUACUAAGUUGAACAGUUAAUCCAAUUCAGAAUCACAGCGUUAGGGUCAGUAAUCCCUACAAUUCUAGAUUCUAUAUAUGAGUUCAUCAACACAUACAAAGCAAUAAACACAAGAUUAGCUGAAUAACAAAUAUUGAAUAAUCAAAAUAUACAAAUAGUACAAAACUCAAACAUAUAUCCCAACAAAUUCAUAUAACAAACUCUAAUCAAUAGAAAUUUAGCUGCUCGCAUUAACAAGACUCUUAACAAUAGAAGAACAUAUAUAAUACAUGAAUUUCCAAUUAGAAUUUGACUUUCGAUGAUGAAAAUCUUCAUUCACGGAGUUUCAAUACUUGUUUUGCUGUCAAAGUUCUCUGCCAAAAAGUCCAACUCCUCAAACCUUUUUUCUCUUUUUAUAGGCGUUACAAUGUGUCAAGAAAUAGAACAAAUUGUGCCAUUGUGCAUUUUCAUCGUGCCACGAUAUUUGAUUUUUCAGUUGGAUUGUGUCACGAUGCCUUUUCAUUGUGGCACGAUCAGUUAGGCGUGACACGAUCUUGGGCGCGUUUUUUCUAGUGAAUAAUUGGCUUUUUCUUCACAAUUUCUUUGCAAUUUUUUAAUUUUGCUAUAUUUUUUUCAACUUUUUAACUUUCUCUUAUUUUGUCAUAAAUUUCAAACACAAACUAUUAAAAAGAUAGUCAAAAACAUAUACAAAUACUUAAUAAAAUUACAUAUGACAAAAUAUCUUCGGUCAGGUCAAGUUUAAAAAAAGUCCUAUAUCUCUUAAGGGUGCAAGUUUUUGUCAUAGCACUUGUUUUUUUUUUUCUAUAUCUUUAUUCAUUUCUUGUAUUAAGAGUGUGUAGUUAUUGUACUCCUCAUAAUUCAAAUUAGUUUGCUUAUAAAAUUAACUUAAUGGUAAACCAUUCAAGUCCUCUUUUGUUUAAAAAUAAUAAUUUAAUAGUAAACAUUCAUCUCUAAUUUUUUUUAAAUAAUCACUAUUUUCAAAUUAAAUAUUAAAAUAAUCAUAUUUUAAAACUAUUUAUAAAACUAAUCACUUUUCAAACAAAAAAAAUACGACAAAAGCAGGCGUUAUUGUCUGUGACGCAUGUAUACUUUUUUGCACUAAAGCGUCAACAUUAAUGAUGCAUGCAUGCACAUAAUACAAUAAGAGAAGACGUCACUGCGAGUGAUACAUGCUUUAUUUUUUUUAAUUAUUUAAAAAUAGGAAGCGAUAGGAGAAGUGACGCAUGCAAAAAAAACUAUUGAACAUACGUCGAAAAAGUAGCACAUAUAUACAAUAUUAUUAAAAAGCAAUAAACGGUAACGUCAGGAGGAAUGACGAAUGCACGUAAUAUUAGCAUGCGUCAUAUGCAUUUACGCCCAUUCUUAUCGUAUAAUUUUUUUAUUUAAUAAAUAAUUUAAUUAUUUUAAUAUUUAUUUUUAAAAUAGCGAUUAUUUAAAAAAAAACUUCAAUCUCUUGGUACUCCUCAAGGCUGAAGCCCUCUUUUGGUUAGAAAAAAACAUUUUAAUUUAACGGUAAGCGUUUCAAUUAAUUUAAUAGUAAGCACUUUCGGAGUAUAGUCGUGGGCACACAUUUGGAGUGUUUAAUUUGAUUGCUUCUUUUUAUGUCUUCUGAAUCAGGUAUUUCUCUAUCUUCUCUCCAUUUUCUUUGAGAUUAUUACCUUUCUUUGUUUGCAAACAUGAUAAAUAUUCUGCAAGAGCUUUUUCCCUCUCAAAAACCAAAACCCAUUUCGUAUUCGUCUCUUGAAACAUGUUCAUCCCCUUCACAAACACAACCUCCUAAUAUCCCAAAAAACCCUAAUAACAGUGACGAUGCAUGUUCAUCUUUUGACAUUCUGAACUAUGAAUCAUGGGUGUGUCCCCAAGUUCUGAAGCACCACUCAAUCUUUACCUCAGAUGAAGACAUCCUCCGUUUGCAACAAAAGAUUCAGCUGACGGAUGAACUUGCAUGUCUUCCGUGUUUCGAAGAAGAACGUGUGUGUUGGCAACACACGGAUAAAAAUGAACCACAUUUCAUUUAUAUGUAUGAGUUCCUGUUUGAGAAACUGUUAAUUUCACUUCCUUUUUCGAAAUUUCAAUGUGACGUUUUGGCUACCCUAAAUGUUGCUCCUUCGCAGCUUCAUCCUAAUACAUGGGGUUUCAUAAGAGCUUUCGAGAUUCUAUGUUCUUGUGUUGGUGUUGAGCCCAGUCCCAAUAAGUUUCUGUAUUUCUUCCAAGUCAAGGUUUCGGGAAAAGUGGGAUGGAUAUCUGCAAGUGGCCGGUCAGGGAGACGGUUGUUGAAUGGUUUUUAUUCUUCCUAUAAGAACUGGAAGAACAGGUUCUUUAAAGUUGGUUCGGUUUCGGCUUCGUUUUUGUUGAAGGAAUGGGGAAAUUCUCCAUUUCCCCUUCAAUGGACAACUGAUCCUAUUCCCUUCAAUACCUUUGAGAUUGACCGAUUGGACGAGGUUGAGCGGGAAGAAAUUCAACCGCUGAUCGAUUUACCUGUGUUUCAUUGUGCUAAAUUGAUAGCACUAAAUGAAAAUUGUGGUGCUUUGAUGGCUCACUUUUGUAAGUUGCAUUCGAAGGUCUUGUUUUGCUGGCUAUGUUAUGCUUGUUACCUGAUGUUUUUAUUUAUUGUUUUGCAGCAGAGAUGACGACAUUCAUGUUCAAGAAAAAGGACUUGGAGAAAUUCAUUAACUUAAAACCUUCUCCAGAUCCGAUUACUCAUACAUCAGCUCCCAACCGUACCGUGACCUCACCUUCGGGUAGCCAGCUUAAGGAAAAGAAGCGAAAAAGACUAUCUGAGGUCCCAGCUGAGCCCGUUCCUCAUAAGCAAACCCGUGUCAUCAACUCGCCUGUCCUCCUUGCUAGUGCAGGGAAUGUGCCUUUGGUUGGUCCGGCACCGACCCUUCCAGUUCAGAACCUUGAGGCCAUGUGGGAUGAUGCACAUGGGUCUUCAUCAGAGAUCGACAGACCAUGUAUUUCUAAACUGAGGAAGGAGGAUAUGGUUGAAGCGGCUAAGGUAUACCAGCUACGCGCUUUAACUCUUAUGAAAGAGAUGGAACAAGUUAUGAUCUCAGAGAGCUUGGAGAAGCUGACUAAAGAGAAUGAAGAGGAUAAGAGGAUUAAAGAGAUUGAAGAGUUGAAACGAAAACUGGAGGUUGCUCACAAAGCUCAAGACAAACUGAAAAAAGAAUUGGUUGACUUGAACACAAAACAAGAGAAAUGGCAGAAGGAGAAAAUUGACUUAGAAUCUGCUUUGAAGAAAGAGCGCGAUCUCCUGAAAUCCACUCAGGUAAAUCUGCGUGAUGAGAAAAAUAAGGUUCAGCAGGCCAUGUCUCAGGCAGCCCAUCAGUAUUUGGAAGGUUUCAAUUGUGCUAAGUCUCAAGCCGCCUUCUUGUGCUCGGAUGAAGAAGGAAGAUUAGAUGGCAUGCGCCUUUGGGGUCAGGUAAGGGAUGGCGAAAUCGUAGUUGAUGAUGAGGGAGAUGAGUGAGGAAAAUUAGAUGGCAUGCGCCUUUGUGGUCCUCAAGCGAUGAACAGAGAUGUUGAUGUCACCUCAGUAUGUUUUGUGAAAAACAUGUCUAUUUUGCUGUAGAUAGUAACUGUCCACAGUGGAAGUAACACUCCUAACCUUACUUAAGAUUUGCUCCACAAAAACAAUAUUUUAUAACUAAUCUGUAUGAUAGUGUUUAUCACUACUGUUUUGUCAUCUAUGUAUACAAUAUUAAGGAUGAUGUUGUGUUUUAUUGUUUAUGUCAUUAGUUAGAGUAUAGCAGAUUUUGAGUACUCCUAGCAUUUCUUUGAGUGGUUUUGCAAAAUAUUAUCGAAUUAUACGCAAAUAAGGAAUGACAUUUCUACCUCAUGAAAUGUCACCUAGCUUGACAUUAUGAGAGACAAGAGAUUACAUCGCCUCACUUCUAGCAAUUAAAAAACGAAUAGCUUUCCCGUUAAUCAAUAAUGAUACUUUUGCAUAAUGGAAAUCCCAAUUAUCAAACUUAUAAUGUGAAUAGAGAGAAUUGUAUAAAAAAAGUUAUUCAUAGAAAAAAAGAGAAUAAAGAAAAGAAUAACAAGUAUUCGUGAGAAUAAAAAGAAAGUCAAAUAUCCAUAAUCUAGUAUCAUUUGUUGAACUAUAUUCUAUGGUAAAAAAAUAAAGAAAAAAAUUAUAGACGAAGUGAUUGUAAUAAUAGAGUUCAUAACUCUAAAAGCUCUAUUAUUCUUAAAAUUAUGCAACCUUAACUAAGUCAUGGUACAACCAUAAAUAUCUUUAAAAUGUAUGUUGUAAGGUUAAUUUGAUUGGGUGUUUAAUUUCUACGCUGACAGAGUGAUAAUCUUGAUUAUCAUUUGAGUGAAUUAUUAAGAAAAGGAGAAAAGUUGACUAGAGAUGAAAUUUGGAUAGAUCUUUUUAUACUUAUCUAUCUUGAAGUUUGAGAACGGAAGUAACUAGAGCAUGAACAUCGAAAGGAUAAUCUUGAUUAUCAUUUUGAGUGAAUUAUUAAGAAAAGGAGAAAAGUUGACUAGAGAUGAAAUUUGGAUAGAUCUUUUUAUACUUAUCUAUCUUGAAGUUUGAGAACGGAAGUAACACUAGAGCAUGAACAUGGAAGUAGUUCGGUAAGUAACCUUAAACUUAAAAGUUAUUGUUAGACAUCCAAAGUUGUUGUAUUAUUGUAAAUUCUCAUCUUUCAAGUUUGUUUAUCAAAGACAAGUAACCAUUCAAUUUUAGAGUUGUGAUGACCCUCGAUCAUACUAACAACUUUUUCUAUUAACAUUGCAUGUUUCUUAGAAAGUUAUACAUGAAUUAGUAUCACCAUAGAAAGUCUCAACUUAAAUAAAAAUCAUGUUAACUUAUAUAAUUUUACAAUGCUCACACAUAAUGGAGGUUAUCGUGACGAUAAACGACGCAAAGACAAGAACAAAAAGACCAAAACAAAGAAAGAUUCACUUUGCCAAAAUCAUGUCACUACCGAGGAUGAUUGUGGCAUGAUACCAUGAUACAAACAGAGAAUAAAUGUCUUUUUGAAAUCGUGGUACAAUAGGAAAGAAACAUGUCGGGAUCAUUUGAUAAAAACCGUGCCAUGAUCGUAAUGCAUUGUGGCAUGAUUUUCUUAAAAAUCAUCUUGACACAUUAUUUUAUUAAGAAAUCAUGGCGCUAUGCACAAUUUCUAUGAUUUCAAAACUCUAUUUAAAGGAAAAAUAUGACGCUAUUUAUAUGGAUUUCAAAUUCUAAUCCUUGAGAAAUUAACAAUUAUGUGGUUCUAGAUAUCCAAGAUGAAUGUUAUUUCAUUAUUGGAGUACAAUUAUUUCAUUUUAGUCUAUUUAUUCGUUCUAUAAACUUUUGGAGUAUUAAAUGUCGGGAGACAUUCAACAUUGAACUCGAAGGUUGUAUCCUUCACAAGUAGAUUAGCAAGAGAUUUUGUAAUAAAAAAAAAUCUUUUAUAAACCCCUUAUAAAAUUAUGCAUGUUUUAAACUUCUAAUGCCCUUUUCAUCGAAGGGAGAACAAAGUUUUUCAAUUACUUUCACUAUUAUGAAAAACAACUCUCAUAACGGUUGGAAAAAUGAUACAACCGCAUUCAACUAACUGUUGUGAGGUAAAGUGUGAUUGUAUAUAUGAUUCUUUCCACCACAGCCAUGCGAAAGUUACUUUAAACAACCAUUGUUGUAUGUCUCAAUCUAUCACAACAAUUAUUUUAAAUAACCAUUUUUGUAUGUCUUUUAAUAAAAUAAAAAAAUACAGCAAUAGAACAACAACAAGAACAAAAACAAGAACAACAAGAACUAUAACAAGAACAACAAGACAAGAAUAAAAUCAAAAACAACAAUAAUAACAAGAAGAAGAAGAAGAAGAAGAAGAAGAAGAAGAAGAAUGACAACAAGAACAACAACAACAAUACAAGAAUAACAACAAGAACAACAACAACAAAUAACAUUGCUAAAUUGAAUACAUACUUUCCUUGUCUCAUUCAAGUUGGAGAAGAGGUAAUGAAGUUCUGAAAUUUGUUAAUGAAAAAAAAUGAUGUUUUCGAAUUUUGUUUAUCGAAGAAAUGAUGUUUUCGAUGUUGGUUUAGUGGAGAAAUAUAGUGUCGCAAAUGGAAGAUGAUGUUUGGAGGUAGAAGAUGAAGUUCGUCUAAGUUGGAAGUUCAUCUAAGUUUUAGGUUUCAUAUAGAUCACUAAUGGUUGUGUCUUGAGCAUUGAUACUCACUAAAUGGACGACAAAGUUUUGCUUAAGUAUGGUGAAAAAACUCAAUAAACACCCUUAUAUUUCUCCAUGAUCCUGCAUGACUUUUCACCACGGUUGGAAGUGGCUUAAAAAUAAAUAAAAAUAAAACUGUAGGUGAUAGGAUUCAAACUCAUGACCAUGUUCCACUUUUCACCACAGUUGGAAGUUCCAACCGUGAUAAAAUUGACUUAAAAAUAAAUAAAAAAACAAAACUGUAGGUGUUAGGCUUCGAACUCAUGAUCAUGCGCCACUUUUCACCAUGAUUGGAAGUUUCAACCGUGGUAAAAAAUGACUUAAAAAUAAAAAACAAAAUUGUAGGUGCUAGGAUUCGAACUCAUGAUCAGACGUCAUUUUUUCCACGAUUGGAAGUUCCAACCGUGGUGAAAAAUGGCUUAAAAAUGAGAAGAAGAAAACGCCUAAGUGAAUAGAUUCUACCACAAUAGAUAUUUUGACCAAGGUCAAAUAACCUUACGAAAGAUACUUUUUGCAGUAGUGUUUAAUAUUUUUCUAAUCAACUUCAAUCCCUACUCAUAAAUUUUAUAAUCCAACACGAUGUUCUCUCUCACUAUAAAAUGACAUUUUUAUCGAUGCAUGACUAUAUUUGAUUUUUCACACUUGUCUAACAAAAGUCAUAAAUUUAUUAAACUUUUAUCAUAUUAGAAAAGAAAAGAAUAUAAAAAUUAACCAUAAUUACUUCAAUAUAUUUUUCAAGUAUAUUAGAGAAUAUAGAUAUCAAACAUCUUUGAAUAGUAGCAGGAGUAUUGGAUCACUUGAAAGACAUUCUUAUGUAGGCAAAUAUGUUGACCAAAUUACUCUAUAUCCAUGAAAGGGAGGAGAAUGAAUUGUGAUAUUCAAAAUUCAUUAUUAAUUUAUAAAAUAUUUUUAUUUUUUAAAAUGUUUAUUUUAGUUUAAUAUUAAGAUAGAAGAAUGAACGUGAUGAAGAAAGAAUACAAUAUAAAUAAAAUAAUUUAAAAAAAUAAAAGAGAGAAGAGUUUAAAUGCACCAAAGAUUUAUACAGAUUCGAUCUAACCACUUGACAUUUUAUCUUCCUUAAGACUUUUCUCUUUAGAGUUCAACUAAAAUCAAAUUUUAAUUUUUGCAGAAUCAGUCUCCAAAUCUUCAACACUCAAAUAAAGAUUUUAACACAACUGAGAUAAAGAACAUUUACCCAAAAAAAAGGUUUAACUUUCAACCUUUAAGUCUUAUAUAAAUUACAAUCCACAAUAGAGUCAAACUCUUCAAUAAAUAAAAUAAAGAAAAACAUCUACUAGAACAAAUCUCUCAUAAGGGUAUCUCGGUCUUUUGACACUAUGUCAAGCCUUGUGAAAAGCAAAAAUGAAAAUCGAGAGAGUAGAAGACAAAUAUAAGAUUUUUUUCCCCAUAAUUUAAGUGUAAAAUAAAAUGAGGAGAAACUCUUUUAUAUAUAAAAAAACUGAUUAAAAAAAGAAAUAGUUCAUAAUCCAAAUUAAAUGACUUAAUCAAUUAACUUUAAUUAUUAAUCCAUUAAUAAUUUUUAAAAUACCACAACUCUAAUCCAAAAAAGAAAACUCCAAACAGAUUAUAUACAUUAAUCCAUUAAAAUAAUUUCUAAUGGAUUAAGAUAUCAUUUACUUUAUUCUAAUUAAUUGGAUAAGGAUCCUCUCCUGCGUUUUCCAUUCGGUCAUCAUUCUACUUUGAAUCUGAUGGUUAAAAAAAAUUAAUUGAUACAAUUAAUUAGAAGAGAGAAAUGAAAUAUAAAUCCAUAGUACGGCACACAUGGCAAAAGAUGGACAACAGAGGAGGAUCCUGAUCCUCCUCUCUUAUAAAACUCAAUGGAAUAUAUAUCAAUAAAACAUAUUCAAAAAGUUAGUAAGUAUAUGAAAUCUUAAAAAACACCAUUAGUUAAGUUAAGUUGCAACAAUCAUAACUUACAUGCAAUUACCUUGUCUAAAACACCCUUCUUAAUUAAACUUGUUAGUAGUGGAUCAAAUUUCAUUUAAAAAUUAUAAAAAUAAUGUCUGGUGUAACUUACAUGCAACCAAGUUUAAAGAACUUGGUGUGUCACUUAUUUACACACAAUGUGAAUAGAAUAUUGUAUUUAACUAUUUUUUAUGUACAUUCAACACUAAUAGAAAUUUUUAUUUUCUUGGGAAUUUACCUGUAGAUUUUAAAUUAUAAAUAAAAUCAUUUCAUUUAUAUAUAUAUAUUUUAAUUUUAUAUCUAAAAACAGGUAGAAAAAAAUUAUAAGUCUCAAACUUCCCCAAGAAGCUUCUAUACUGUUUUAGUAUGAUCCUGCAUGAAUAUGUUUAAACCGUAUCUAAAACCAGAGUCUCAAAACGUAUGAGUAACUUUCUUUCCCAUUCAUCACACUCUUCCAGCAAAGAAGAAAAUGGCCAACGUAAACGUAAACGUCGGUGACCAUUACGAAAAGCUCAGCAUUUACACCAUCGACUUACACGGAACAAAAAUAACCGUAACCGUUACCGCCUUCCCUUCCGUAGUCAAAAAGUGGCUCACUACCACGCUCCUCUUCCGCCGCCACUACGUCAGAAAGAAUCAACUCGUCGUCGGCCUCGGCGUCCAGUGGUUACCCCGCCGUAGAAAUUAAAGUGGCUCACUACCACGCUCCUCUUCCGCCGCCACUACGUCAGAAAGAAUCAACUCGUCGUCGGCCUCGGCGUCCAGUGGUUACCCCGCCGUAGAAAUGUCACCGCCGCUACAUUGCAAAUAUGCGUCGGUCAGCGCUGUCUUAUCUUUCAACUCGCUCAAGCCGAAUCCGUGCCGGAACGCCUCCGACGGUUCCUUAACGAUCCUAACCACACGUUUGUAGGAUUCUGUAACAAAUCUGAUAAUCGGAAACUGAAAUCAUCUAAGCAUGAAUUGGAGAUGUUCGGUGAUCCUCUUGAUCUAAGGCUGUACGCGGCAAAAUUAUGCAAUGAAGAUCUUGAAGGUGCUUCAAUGGAAGAGAUUGUGAAGAAAUGCGUUGGUUAUGAUUUGGAUCAGAGCAGAGAUAUCGGUAAGAGUGAUUGGAGUGAAGAGAAUUUGAACGAAGAUCAAGUUGGUUAUGGUUGUGUUGAUGCUUACUGUGCUUUUCUGAUGGGUAAGAAUAUGAAAGCUUGGGAGUUAAGAAAAUGAAAUCUUGUUUUGCUGAUCAAAGUAAUUUGUAAAAUGAUAGAACUAGUGCUAAGGGAUCGAUGUUCAUAGUUUGUCAUCUAUGCUUAUUUUACCUUUUCCCUCUAAGAUUGAAUCAUAUUCUGUAAUUUUUUUUUCAACACAAACACUGAAAACUAACACCCUAUAAUACAUGUGUUGUAUUAAUACAACCAAGUUGUUUUAUAUUCAAAAUUUACUUCGAGUGAGAUAUCAUCAAGACAAAAAUUCAAAGUGUAGAGUCCAACUUCAAACCUAUCCCUUGAGGUUAAGCUGUAUGAAAUGAUUGAUACUAACAUACACCAGUUUUUGCAUGGAUUUUAUCAACUACAGUAUUUGGUUAAUACGGAGUACUCUCAAUAGAUCUUAUACUCCUUCUAUAGUUGCAUUUACAUUUUCUUUUUAAAUAAUUAUGUUUUAGUUGUCACUUUAAUCUUUUAAUUAAACUUUUUUAUAAAUUAGUCUAAAAAAUAUAUAUUUAUUAGUUAAUUUGAUAUUUUUUGUUAAAAUUAAAAAAAAAAGUUAAAUUCUACGUAUGUGACAAUUGUCAUUAUUUAAUCUGAUUUGUUUAUUUUUUAUUUGAUAUGACUUUUUUUAUUUAUUUAAAUUUUUGAAAAUUUUGUUGUUUUUUUUGUCAAUUUGAUAUAUAUAUAUAUAUUAAUAUAUAUAUAUAUAUAUAUAUAUAUAUAUAUAUAUAUAUAUAUAUAUAUAUUAUAUAUAUAUAAUAUAUAUAUUAUAUAUAUAUAUAUAUAUAUAUAUAUAUAUAUAUAAUAUAUAUAAUAAUAUAUUAUAUAUAUAUAUAUAAUAUAUAAUAUAUAUAUAUAUAUUAUAUAUAUAUAUAUAUAAUAAUAAAUAAUGCUAAGAUUUUAUAAAGAAAUAAUGCUAGGUUUGGUUUUUUAUGUUAUAUUGUAAGAUGCUUAUUGUAUUUUCAAUUUGUUGUAUAGAAUUAUUAUUAUUAUUUUAUACAUUUUAUUAAUAUUUGUGAGAGUUUUAAUCUUUGAACAUAUAUUUUUUUAAUUUAAAUAAAAUAUCAUUUUUUUAAUAUAUAUUGAUUCAAUUUAUUAAUUAAUAUCUGUCACACCAUAUAUUUAAAAUUAACGUUUUUUUCGAAUUUUUAAUUGCAAAUACUUUGUAACGGAAUAAUUCUAAAUAUAUAAUACUUUUUAAUUAGAGGACCUAAACGAAAUUAAAUGACUUUGAAAUUAAUUAUACUAUAAAUUUUUAUUUUAUUAAGAGAUUAAUUGUUAUACAUUAUCAGUGUAAAAAAAUUUAUACGGUCAAUACAUCACAAUCAUCCAUUUGUGUUACUUUACAUGUAAUUAUAAUAAAAAUUAAAUUUCUCGAACAAAUCAAUGGUUAUAAUUAACUGAUAGUGUAAAAUAUAUUUAUACUGUCAAUGUAUUUCAAUUAAAUUCUUCUAUUUAACUGUUUCACAAACUAUAAAUAAUAAGGACAUAUGUUUUUAAUAAACGAUAUUAAUUUUUAUAUAAAUUUAAUUAGAGGGAGUAAUAGAUCAAUUAUAACAUAAUAUUACAUCCGACUCAAAUUAUAAAAUAUUUUAACUCAGAAAAAUAUUUUAAUAAUUUAACAUAAAUAAAAAAAUUAAUUUUACAUCAAAAGAAUUAAAAGAAUUAUUUAACAAAUUAUAUUUUAUUAAUAAUGUUAGAAAUAUAAAUUAAAACAACCGUAAAGAAAAAAGAGAAAGAAUAAUUAGUGAUAUAAUAACGAUGAUACAUGAUUGAUAAUGCUGAAAUAAAAUAUAAUAUGAUAAUUAUAUCUUUAUUAGAAUUAGGAGUGGAAAUAGUUAGGACGAGACUUUACCAAAUUUAAAUCUCGACUAAUUUAAAAAAGGAAUAUGUUUGAUUUAUAGCCUUUCAUACAAGUUUUCUACACAACAUUUUUACGUCUAAACUUGUAAUGCAUUUAUUUAAUAUUAAGUAAAGUCUGUGUUUAAAACUUUAGGUGAACAUAUUUCAAGAUUGCAAAAAUAAUAAAGUCAUAGUGUGGUGGGAGUAGGUCGAUGACGGAAGCUAAAAAUUAGAUCAUGGCGGUGAAGAUUGGCAAUCGGUGGCUGCCAGAACUCGGGAAGCACAACGGCGUACGACUGCGAUCAGUGCCAGCAGAGUGGUGGUUCGCAAUGAUGGAGGGUCUGCAAUGGCAGUCAGAUGUGGGUUGAUCUUUAAGUGAUCUACGAGAUUUUGAUUAUCUUGUCAGUUUUCUCGAUUAAUGUGUUUUUUGGCGUUUUAUGUUCGUUUCAUGGAUCUGUUCAUUAAUGUGUUAUGUUUUGGACUUGUGGAUUAGUUGGGUUUCAAUUAUUAUAAAUAUGUAUUUCUUAUAUUCUUGUUGGAGGAACCAAAAUGACUUCAAAUCUGAAGGGAAAAAAAAUACUAAAGAAUCCUAGGAAUAAAGUUAGAGAUUAGAAAAACUUUGGAGGUAUCAAAGGGGAUUGAGAAAUACUUUAAAUAUUUUGGGUGUGUGUGGUUCUUAUAUUGAGAGUUUGAGAGAUUGAGAAACACUUCGGAUAAAAAAAUAAGGUUUGUUCUGGAAAACUUCAAAGACUAUUUUCUUGUAACUCAUUGUAAUAUCUGGUAAUAACUUUUCAAUUAUAGUAAAUAGGAGAGAUUCUCUCUCCCCGGGACUUAGAUCAAUUCGAACUGGAUAAACAAAUUUCAUGUUUUCUCGUAUAUUAUUUUUAUUGCUCGAUGCUUUUUGCGUGGUUGUCGCUGUUACUUUGUUGGUUGGAAAUACAAGUAUGAAAAAGGGGGUUAAAUAGAUCAUUCCCCUUUAAAAAUGGUUUAAAACCUUUCAAUAUAAAAAUCAAAGUUUAAUGGGUGAAAGCUAAAACAAAAUAGAAUGGAAGCCUGAAAUCAUAUUAGUAUGAAUUUUAACCAAUGUAUUUCAAUGUUAUCACUAAGAGUAUGAUCAAACAAGGAUUUAAGUCAACUAGGAUAAUUCAAGUUGCUUAAUCUAAGAAAUUUAAUAUCUCAACAUAGACAUGUCAUUUAUCACAAUCGACUUAAGCAUGAUUCGAUAGGUUUGAUACAAUAUAAAUUUAUGCUUAUACAAUAAAUCACUACAAGCAUGAUAUAACCUAGAUGACAUAUAAAUUAUGUUAUGAUUUAACUUUUACAUUAUGAAUGACGAAAAUUAAAAAGAGAGAUACGAAAGAAAGGGAAUACACAUAGAUGUGCAGUGGUUAGACAAACCGUCAUCGCCAUGCCUACUCCACUCUUUGAUGGUUUGAAAUUAUUGAGAAAAUAAUCAUGUCUUCCACUAUUUUUAAGAGUUAAUAUACAAGUAUUUUGAUACAACAAAUUACCAUCAAUCAUGUGAAGACAAAUCUCUUAUGAAUAUGUUUUGAUGAAGACAAAUAUGUUGGAAAGAAUAGAAAGUUUGUUUCAUGCUCAAGUCAAUAUUAAAUAACUCAAAUUUUCACGAAUUUGAUCUUGGUCAAGAUAUGGUCUCUCAUGGAACUAGUUCAUGUUUUCAUCUAAGGUGAUACACAUUCAUUAUUUUCAUCACUUAGGUGCUCAAGAACAUUUAUGCAUAUUGAUCAUUCAAAACAUUGGUUUUAACUUAGAACAUUUUCAAAUUUUUCCAUACAAAAAUGGAUUGUCAUAGAUGACCAAUCGAUUGUCAUGUUGCUUCUGUCCAAAAAAAUUUUAAUCCCAAGUUUGCAACAAUUGAUUGUCCCUCUAUACCAAUCGAUUGACAAAUGUUAAAUUAUGAAUUUUUUGACGUUGCAAUAAGGAAACAGCCGUUUGUCUACAUAGACCAAUCGAUUGUCACUAAAGCAUCAUGAGUUUUUUCUGAAAAUUUGAAACAUCUUUUCAUUGCUUCUCUUCAUGUUAUCCUUUCACUAAUCAUUGCAACAUAUUUCUGAAUAUUUUCUAAAACAUUGUCAUGAUUUCAAAGAGUUUUCUUGCUACUAUAAAAUCCAUAACUUUUUAUCAUUUCAAAUUUCCUCUUUCAAAUAUUUUCAAAACAAUUCAAUUCAUUGAUACAACAUUAGUUUCAAGAACUUUCUGCAUAUAUUUUCAUAUAUAUCAGAACAUAGUUCUUGAGAACUUAUAGUGGAUAUUUCAAUUUUCAUAUUUGAAGGGGAAGAAUAAUUUUUGUUAGAAUUUUGUGGAUUUAUCAAAAUUCUACUGCACUUAUAUUUUCAAUUCAAAAUUGUUGUUAUAUUAUCAAUAUUCUGUAACUAGUAUACUAGGUUUUUGGUAGCAAGAGUAUUAAAGAGAAAGUAAGGUUCUUUCUCUUUGUUUGUAAUAUCACUAGGUGGAAUGCCUUUGUGAUUGUGUUAGAAAGUUAAAAGAGUCAUGUGGAUCUGCUGUAACGUUUCUAACAUAGUGAAAUCUCUCACGGGAUGUGAUGGGACUAGAAGUAUCAUUGAUUGGAAAAACAAACUAGUAUAUAUCAUGGUGUUCUUUACAUUUCAACAUUUAUUUUUUUGCACUUUCCAUUUCAAGUUCAUCAAAAAGUUCAAGAAAAAUAAGAACACAUAAUUCGUCGUCUAAAAUCGAGAAAAUACUGAUAAACCUAAUUCAUCGCCCCUCUUCGAUUUCACUCUAAACUUAUAUUUGACAUCAAAGCAGGUUAUAGGUAACCUAUUCCUUAGAUCUAGAAGAUGGCUUCCAUAAAUCCAUUUUUUAUAGAUAGUGGUAGCAAUAAUAAGCCUCUUUUGUUUCGUGGUGAAUAUUAUGAUUUAUGGAAGAUCCGUAUGCAAGCACAUAUUGAAGCACAACAAGAAGAAGUUUGGGAUGCAGUAGAAAAUGGUUCAUUCGUUCCCACAAGUGUUGUAAAUGUCGUUGAUACACCCAAGAUCAAAAGUUUGUGGAAUGAAGAUGAUAAGAAAAAAGUUUUCUACGACAAGAAAGCAAAGAACUUGCUUUAAGCAUCCCUAAACAUGGAUGAGUUCGUUCGUGUCUCUCAAUGAAAAACAAUGAAGGAAUAUAUGGGAUACAUUAGAAGUCACUCAUGAAGGAAUCGUGGAAGUGAAAAGGUCAAAACUGAACACAUUAUCUCAAGAGUAUGAAAUGUUCAAGAUGCAGCCCGAUGAAUCAAUUCUUGACUUACAGAAGAGAUGUUCACACUUGACAAAUCACUUAACGGCGCUUGGUAAUACUUUUUAUAAUUAUGAACUUAAUAUUAAAAUUCCUAGAUCUUUAACCAGGGCAUGACAACCGAAAGUGACAACGAAAUAUGAAAAGAAGAGCCUAUCCAAAAUGACGUCCGCCACAUUGUUCAGAAAACUUCAAGAGCAUGAAUAAACUUGGAAGACUAGAGAAGCAUGAGACUCAAGAUAAGAAACACAAGAGUUUGGCAAAUUUCUCCAAAAUGAUUAAAUUUUAAGUUUCAAAUGGAUGAAAAUUUUAAAGAAGAAGGAAAUGUCUACUUUAAACAAGAACUUUACAUGUGUUGAUUCUAAGUGUUGGCAGCAAUUUUGGUAAAACAAAGAGUGUUCACAAGAUGUUAUGUGUGAUGUCUUAACAUGAGAUAUCCUAUGUACCUGCUGGAGUUCAAGAACAUGUGCAUGUAGGAUUUUUUCAGAAUGCCACAUACAAUGCCAUGGCUUCUGAUAUUGGAUGUACCUGCUGGAGCUUAAAUGAAAGACAUGUUCAUGCAGGAUUGUUUCAGAUGACAUACACAAGGUCAUGACAUCUGAUAUGGCUAUAUCCUAUGUACCUGUUGGAGUUCAAGAACAUGUGCAUGCAGGAUUGUUUCAGAAUGCCACAUACAAUGCCAUGGCUUCUGAUAUUGGAUGUACCUGCUGGAGCUUAAAUGAAAGACAUGUUCAUGUGGGAUUGUUUCAGAUGACAUACACAAUGUCAUGACAUCUGAUAUGGCUGUACCUGCUGGAAGUUAUAGAAGGAAUUAUUGGAUUAUGCAGGAUUUUUCCAGGAUGUCAGACCCGAUGUCAUGACAUCCUGUACACAGAACAUUCAGUAUGAAUGUCUGGUGUUUUGCGAUUGCACAAUUAAUGGCAAUCUUUGGAUGAUUGAAGAUAUGGCUAGCUGGCGCAUUCAAUCAUGGAUUACAAGUACUUAUUUUCCAAGGAGAUCUAAACAGCUGUUAUAAAAAGAUUUGAUUGGAAAAUAUAUUUAGGGUUUUCAAGAUGUCCAAGCCCAGCAGAAUGCUUCUAUAAAAAGAGACUUAGAAAACCUGUUUGAACACACAACCAAGACUGAGCGAAAUAUAGAGAGAGAGCUAGGGUUUGUGUCUGUUUAGUCGUAAGACUUGUAGGUCAUUCAAGUCAUCCAUUGAUGAUUGAAUUAGACUGAUUUGUGGUUGUAAUUUGUCACUCUAAAGCUGUUAAGCAAGAGUGUGUGUCUUCUUGAUCAAAGCUNNNNNNNNNNNNNNNNNNNNNNNNNNNNNNNNNNNNNNNNNNNNNNNNNNNNNNNNNNNNNNNNNNNNNNNNNNNNNNNNNNNNNNNNNNNNNNNNNNNNAACCAAAGAAAGCGCCCGUUGUGCCUGUGACGGGCGUCACAAGGGCUUGUGACGAGCGUCACACUAAAAGCACCUCCUGUUGACGAGCGUCCACAUGGUGUGACGAGCGUCACACCAUUCCACUAGCUUUUUUUUGGCGGCAAGUCACGCCCCUCAGAAGAAGUUGAGAAGACGUUGAGGAGAGUUUCGUGGUCUAUGCCGCGCCGUGUAUUUAGCCAUGCUGGAGACUCGUGGGGGAAACAAAAAAGCAGUUUAGAAAACAACUACUAUAAAUAGCUCAUUAAAACUAAAAGGGAUCCGUUCUCUCCCCUCUUUUGCCCUCUACUCUGCGAAGUGUUCAAACCUUUGUUUUUAGCUUUUGCCUUAUUUUUUUUUCCAGCUUGGUUUAUUUAUUUAUUUCUUUGCAAGCUUUACAUUCUUUUUCCCUUCAAAUUUUACGCUUUCCCGUUUUAGCUUUAGAUAUUUUUCGCAUAUAGUUUGUACGACCGGGAAACUAUUGUGGCAACUUUAUACUGGAUUUAACCUUCCGUUUAUAUUCUCAGUUUUAUUCCUUUGAUUUAAUUUACUGUUUAAUGAAGAAUCCAAGAAAGCAAAUCCUACCGGCAUGUGGGUGGAGUGUUCAAGACUAUUGUACUACGCAUUCAGGUUCUUUAUCUUAAUUUAAUAUUUUGUUUUAUCAAUUUAUCUAUUAUUAUCUAGCCUGGAAAUGAGUCUGUUUAUGCAUGAUAUGUAUUCUCUGUUUAUUUAGCCAUGUUGGCUAAUUCCGCCUAGGUAUACGGUAUGUUAAAGUAAGCAGAAUAAGGAUCAAGACUGAGUCAGGUUCUAUCUAAACAUUAAAUCAAAAUCAAUUCUUUUUACGGUCUCAACUUACAGCGUUUACUAACAAGAUUUUUUACCAAAAGUAAAAGACAUAAAGAGUUAAAAUCACAUAAGCGAGAGUUGAGAUUUUAACUGCAGUGUUAAGUUAGGUCAUUAAUUCUAGAUCAGGGCGAGAGCAAGUUUAGAGUUAAUGUAAAUUUCCUGACGCUUUCCAAAAGUAUUUUUAAAGAUUGAAUGUAGGAGAGUUAAGCAUUUGGAUUGAUUAUAUAACCCUAAGUCAACAGAGCGAGAGUUGAGAUAAGGGUGAUUUAAACGGUCAGUAUUUUUAAAGGAGUUUCUGCCACUUUAUUGUUUUAAAAUAUGGUUUUGACUUAAUUAUAAGUGACAGCUACAUUAAUAUAAAAUACAUGUUUAUUCAGCAGAGCGAGAUUUAGAGAUAAACCUUUAACCAAUAAAGAUUAACCGAAACGAUUCAUUUUAAAACAAGAAACGGACAAGACUUGAAUUCCGAGUUUUGCCGAACUCAUCCGCAUAUCCGUUUCAUUUAUAUUUUAAUCUGAUAUUAGUUAGCUCUUAGUUUUUCCCCAACAAUCAAACAUUUUCACCUUAAGAUUUACGGUAGUAAUAACCUUAGAUAACGGUAUAUCGAUUCAUAAGUCCCUGUGGGAUCGAUAUCUUUUAAAACUACGCGAUAGAACUGUGCACUUGCAGUUUGUAUCCCAUUCUCGACUCACCCAGUCGAGCGAUCAGAUAUUGCAAUUCUCGAUCGAGUGCCCCAGCGUCCCAGAGUAAUACUCGCAGCUGACGUUCAUGUCAUACCCGGGAGGGAGAGGCACAAGAGGAGCCUUUACUUCUCUCAGCCGGACUUGCGAAUCUUUGAGCAAGUGAGCUAGAAGAAGACCAUACGGCAUGGGAAUCGGAUCAAACCUUAUAGGAGGCCUCCUUGGUCCUUGUCUACCCUGCUGAUAGUAGUUCUGUUGUUGAGCAACAGGUUGUUGAGGAGUAUAGGGUUGCUGAUAUUGCAUCGCUGGAGGACCAGUUGGAAUGACAUACGCUGGCUGCGGAUACGGGUUAGGUGUUACUGCUACCACUGGAUAGUAUGGCAUUUGGUAACCUCCAUCUCCCCCUUGAGCGAUAGCAUUGGUCUCUCCUUCCUUCUUCUUUGAGAAUCCGGAAUGAGGCUUCUUUGCUCUAUUAGCCACAACGGUUGUAUCUUGUAUUUUACCGAUCUUCAAGCCAUUCUCAAUUCGCUCGCCGACAAUGACCAAGUCCGAGAAUCCCGAGGUGGUACUCCCAAUCAUUAUUUCAAAAUACGGCCCUUGAAGGGUGUCCACGUGUUGGUGUAAGCCCUAGAGGCCAAUACUUUUGGUACUUGUAUCGAAUUAUUUAUUAAUAAUAAAAGGCAUUUUCUUUAUUAUGGUUGAUUAAUAAAGUCCCUGGAAUAAAUAUUCCGUUUAAUGUAUUAAGUGUGACUUAAUCAUGAGAACACAUUAAACAUAAGGACACUAUUCUUAAAGUAUCCGUAGUCGAGCUUUAGUGUGAACUGGGAUAACAUUAAAGCAUUAAGACUAUUAUGUUUGUAGACUGAUGAUCACAUCUCAUGGAUCAUGGAUAAAGAGUUAUCAAGUCUUAAACAUAGGUAUGAAUAUUAGGAGUAAUAUUUAUACCGGAUUGACCCGCUAUGAGAAUACUAUAUNCUGUCUCAGUUGAGUUACUGUGGAGUCCCAAUGCUUCUACCCAAGGGGUUCUAUUUAUAAGAACUACUUGUGUGGGGCUUCAAGCCAAAAAGCCCACUUAAGUGCAUUUUGGCCCAUAUCUCAUAAUAUGCCAAAAUCACUUAAGUAUUUGGUACCUUACCAUAUUUCAUAUUCUACUUAAGUACACCGUACCUUACGAUGUUCCUUAAUUAUUCUAUCCUCAUCAAAUCCGUCCUUUGUGUGUGACCCUAUAGGUUUUCGCGGCGUUGGCAAUUAUAUUAAUCACGCAUUUAACAUAAUAAAUAGUGAGCGGUAUCUAGCAACACAUCACUGCUACCCAAGUCACGAAAAUGUCAGUGAUCUGACAAACCUCCUGUGAUAAUAAUUAUGGUAUAAUACCCCUUUGCCCUAUGUUCUAUAUUGAACACAAGUAUAAACCGUGUCACCCUUUCCAAUUCAAUAUGGGCCCAUAGACAUUUAUCCUGUUACGCAGGAUUGGCAAAUUCCAUCUAGGACACUCAUGUCCCUCACAUGCUUCGUGAGUACCCAUCAACUGUCUUUAUGGUUAUCCAGUUACGGACAACGUUGGAUCAGUAUAAAGCACUCGACUCUACAUCUAGGAUCCAUAGUGGUUCAGGUCGAAGAGUAGUAUACACUAUUAUCACCAUGAGAAAAACUUAUGACACUUUGCAUAACUUUCUAUAUAGUAUUCUCAUAGCGGGUCAAUCCGGUAUAAAUAUUACUCAUAAUAUUCAUACCUAUGUUAAGACUUGAUAACUCUUUAUCCAUGAUCCAUGAGAUGUGAUCAUCGUCUACAAACAUAAUAGUCUUAAUGUUUAAUGUUAUCCCAGUUCACACUAAAGCUCGACUACGGAUACUUUAAGAAAUAGUGUCCUUAUGUUUAAUGUGUUCUCAUGAUUAAGUCACACUUAAUACAUUAAACGGAAUAUUUAUUCCAGGACUUUAUUAAUCAACCAUAAUAAAGAAAAUGCCUUUUAUAUUAAUAAAUAAUUCGAUACAAGUACCAAAGUAUGGCCUCUAGGGCUUACACCAACACGUGACACCCUUCAAGGGCCGUAUUUGAAAAUAAUGAUUGGAGUACCACCUCGGAUUCUCGACUUGGUCAUUGUCGCGAGCGAAUUGAGAUGGCUUGAAGAUCGUAAAAUACAAGAUACAACCGUUGUGGCUAAUAGAGCAAAGAGCCUCAUUCCGGAUUCUCAAGAAGAAGGAAGGAGAGACCAAUGCUCGCUCAAGGGGGAGAUGGAGGUUACCAAAUGCCAUACUAUCCAGUGGUAGCAGUAACACCUAACCCGUAUCCGCAGCCAGCGUAUGUCAUUCCACUGGUCCUCCAGCGAUGCAAUAUCACAACCCUAUACUCCUCAACAACCUGUUGCUCAACAACAGAAACUACUAUCAGCAGGUAGACAAGGACCAAGGAGGCCUCCUAUAAGGUUUGAUCCGAUUCCCAUGCCGUAUGGUCUUCUUCUAGCUCACUUGCUCAAGAUCGCAAGUCCGGCUGAGAGAGUAAAGGCUCCUCUGUGCCUCUCCCUCCCGGUAUGACAUGAACGUCAGCUGCGAGAUUACUCUGGGACGCUGGGCACUCGAUCGAGAAUUGCAAUAUCUGAUCGCUCGACUGGGUUGAGUCGAGAAUGGGAUACAAACUGCAAGUGCACAGUUCUAUCGCGUAGUUUUAAAAAGAUAUCGAUCCCACAGGGACUUAUAAUCGAUAUAGACCUGUAUCUAAGUUACUACGUAAAUCUAAGGUGAAAAUGUUUGAUUGUUGGGGAAAAACUAAGAGCGAAACUAAUAUCUAGAUUAAAUAUAAAUGAAACGGAUAUCGUAUGUAGUUCGGUCAAAACUGGGAAUCAAGUCUUUGUCGGUUUCUUGGUUUAAAAUGAACGUUUCGGUAACUUUAUUGGUUAAAAGGUUUAUCUCAAACUCUCGCUCUGCUGAAUAAACCAUGAUUUUAUAUUAAUGUAGCUGUCACUUAUAAUAAGUCAAAACCAAUUUUGAAAACAAUAAAGUGCAGAAACUCCUUUAAGAAAUACGACCGUUUAAACACCCUUAUCUCAACUCUCGCUCUGUUGACUUAGUUAUAUAAUCAAUCCAAAUGCUAACUCGUUCCUCACAUUCAUCUUUAAAAAUACUUUUGGAAAAGUCAGAAUUUAAUUAACCUAAAACUGCUCUCGCCCUGAUCUAGAAUAAUGCCUAACUUACACGUCCAUUAAAAAUCUCAAACUCUCGCUCUAUUGAUUUAACUCUUAUGCUUUACUUUUGUAAAAAUCUGUAUAAACCUGUAAGUUGAGACCGUAAAAGAAUUGAUUUGAUUUAAGUUUAAUAGACCUGACUCAGUCUUGAUCCUUAUUCUGCUACUUUACAUACCGACCUAGGCGAAUUAGCCAGACAUGCUAAAUAAACAAGAAUACAUAUCAUGCAUAAACAGACUCAUUCCAGGCAGAUAAUAUAGAUAAAUGAUAAAACAAAUAUUAAAUACGAUUAAAGAACCUGAAUGCGUAAUACAAUAGUCUUGAACACUCCACCCACAGCCGGUAGGAUUGUCUUGGAUCUUCAAUUAAACAGAAAUUAAAUCAAGAAAUAAAACUAGAAUAUAACGAAGGUUAAAUCCAGUAUAAAGUGCCACAAUAGUUCCGGCGUAGAAACUAUAUGCGAAAAAUAUCUAAAAGCUAAAACGGAAAGCGUAAAUUUGCAAGGAAAAAGAAUGUAAACUUGCAAAGAAAUAAAUAAAAUAAACAAUGCUGGAAAGAAAAAUAAGCAAAAGCUAAAAACAGAAGGUCUUGACAGCUUCGCAGAGUAGACGGCAAAAGAGGGCAGAGAAGCGAUCCCUUUUAGGUUUUAAUGUAGCUAUUAUAGUAGUGCUUCUAACUGCUUUUUGUUCCCCACGAGUCUCAGCAUGGCUAAAUACACGGCGCGGGCAUAGACACGAACUCUCCUCAACGUCUCUUCAAUCUUCUGAGGCGUGACUUGCCGCCAAAAGCUAGUGGAAUGUGUGACGCCGUCACACCAUGUGGACGCUCGUCACAGGGUGCUUUUAUGUGACCUCGUCACAACCCUUGUGACGGCCCGUCACAGUCACAACGGCGCUUUCUUUGGGUGGCUUGGCUUGAUAUUUCCUUUUACUCCUUCUACACCUCCUUUCUUUCUUUUCACUCUGCUCAAAAUGGAUACUGACAUAAAUAGCAAGAAAUACUGGCAUAAAUCUGAUAAAAUGAAUAAAACUAAAGUAAAUAUAAUCUAUCUAAUUGACAUUAAGUCUUAAAAUGAGAUAAUUCGUGUAUCAAACCCCCCAUACUUAAAUCUUGCUUGUCCUCAAGCAAAAUUCAGUAUAGAACUUGUUAAAAGUUUUAGCCAGAUGAAAUUUCAAAGCACAUAUCAAUUCGUACUAGGUGCAAAUGGAUUUGUUAGGAUUGACUUGAGUUUAAUCUGCACAUCAACAACACCUUACAACUUAGAUAACCCACCUUAUGCAAAUCAGUUCAAGUACCCUAUGAAGCUAUCCUGGUUCCUUUAGUCUUAUUUACCCCGUUUACAUUCUAGCGAAAAUACAUUAAGCCCUUUAUCUUUCGCGCACCGUAGGAGUACGGUAGUGAUUAUAUCCCUUUAGCUAGCAAGUUUGGUACAUACAGGUCGGGAUAAACUUAUUAUCGCCAUUGCAAAUUGCGGGGGAACGAACCGUAGUCCUCCUGACAAUUCGUACCAGAUUCCUACUGAACCAACUCAUAAUGGAAUCUUCGUAUUGUGCUUGCAUGAUCUGCAUACCUUUAAUUAAAUGAUCUGUAAGGAUCACCUAAUUAAUUAGGCAUUCUUCUAUAUAUUUAUAUAUCUGUUAAGUCUUGCGGGAUCAUUCACGUAAUCACGGCUCUUCCACUAGUUGCUAUUAAGAUGGUGCUGAACAACUUCUCCCCCUGUUUAAUAAACUCCUAUGGGUUGGCAUAGAAUAAAAGUCAAGGGAAUCGGUAUAAAGGUACUAUCCUGAGCUAAACAUAUUGAGUUCUAGAAGCGUUGUAGGUAAUGAUGUUUCUGUCUGAUUUCACUCAAAUUAUAAAGUAAGCAACCUUAUACUUAUUGGGUGUGUUUAAAAUUUGUUUUGUUAUGGCUCAAGAAAUUGAGGGGGAAUAGAUAUAAGAAAUAUUCACACUAGGACUUAAGUUAAAAUAUAAUAAAUUUUUUUUUUUUUUGUUUUUGUUAGAUAAAUAAUAAAACAGGAAAUAACAAUGAAAGGGAAGGUAACAAUACUUGUAAAAAUGAAAUGGAAGAAACAAGUUUCCCCCCAACUUAAAUUAAACAUUGUCCUCAAUGUUUAGGGAAAGAAAUACAAAAUGGGAAAGCAUAAGAAAAUAACAAAACUAAGGCUGCUUCCGCGCCUCUGAGUUCUUGACCUGGUGAUCGUGGACGUAAGUCUAAGUGCGAACCUGCUAAACACGUCAGUAACGCGCGGCGGUUAUGGCAUAUCCGAGCACCGUUUGCUGUUCAUUGAGCAUCAUCGCAGCAUCUCGACAUCGGCUGCCGUCAUACCAUCGAUAGAUCCAUAUCGCGUUGGUUGGGUGCAGCCUUCUCGUCGACGACGUUGGAGGAGGCCAGUUGUAUUGCCGGAAGGUGAGCGGACUGCACGUGUGUUAGGCGAUGAUCACCUGUUUCCAUUUCUUCAAACUCACUGUUUGGGGUUUUGUUUGUAAAGGCCGUGCGUUUCAGUGAGCCGUUUAGAUCCAUAGAGGUGGGUCGGGGGUGUGACAUCAGUGAGGCGAUAUUGGUAGAACAACGCGUUGGACUGCUCGAUUGUUUCACCAUAAGAUAUAUCCUCCGCCUACUCUGUUUUAAUCAGGCGCGGAGCGGCCAUAGCUGGAUUAUCCAUAUACAGGGGAGGAGGGAUUCUAAAGUUUGGAGUUUACCCGUAGGGUUAGGUCCAAGUGCUAUGAUUUACUUAAUCCACCAUUAUAACAGGUUGCCGCCUAGCAACAUAAGUGCGGAUAUGAUGAAGAAGAAAAGAGGCGGCGUUUACCUGAGUAUCUGGUCGAAGCGCACUGGAGGAAAUAGUUCCUUUAGUUGACCUUGCUGUUGUGUGGCCUUCCAAAAACGUAUGUUUUUGCAAGAUGCGGAAAAAGUAACGGAUGGUGGGUUAUUAUAUGGAGAGAGAAGAGUUUUCCCAAGGUAGGUCUCGAUACCGGACAAUUUUCUUAAAAAGGCCAAAACGCCAACUGUGUUCCAGUUUGAGGUUGGAGGGAUUCAUGGCGUGCCAGCAGACCUUCUGUGGGAAUUUUGUAGCAUGGUACUCAUAUUGGUGUUGGGUUAAGGAGUACUCGGUAUUUGAACAUCCGGAAGGUUGCCGGUACCGCGUCAGAAAUUCAUCCUCACCGGCGGAGUGGGUGUAGUCGUAAGAACUUAGGCGAAUUUUUCUAAAAGGGGUUAGGGAAAAGGUAGGUGGACGGUUGGUUAUGAGUGCAAAGGAAGGUCUUAAAUCGGCUUACGGAGCAUCCACUCGAUACCUUGGAGUAAGCCUAAUUGUUGCAAGCAGGUAAAUCGGACACGGUACCUUGUGGAAAACGACGCCUCGCCUGCUGGAAGCGCUCUGAAUUGCUCUUGCCUGAUAGUUUCAUCUCCGGAUCGUGGGAAGGAUGAUAUUUCCGAAAUUUUGAUUUUCCCGCCAUGUGAUGAAUUUUUGAAGGCAGUGAUUUGGAGUGGAAAAGAUUGUAUAUUUAUAUGAGAGAUUGUUUGUGGGUGAAAUGAAGGAGAUUUGGGUAGUAUUUAUAGGAGAAGGUUGGAAGGAAAGAAAAAGCCCAGUGGUUGAAAAGUAUUAAGUGUGGUUAAUGAAAAACAUGGAAUGGGGAGGUAAAAGUUAAAGGUGUAACGUCGUCUCCAACGCUCCCUUAACGUUCACAUUUGUCUGCAGGGGGUUACGCUCGUCACAAGGGAUGCUGACGUUCCGUUAACAGGAGGUUAUGCGUGCCGUUCGUCAUGGAGUGUGUGACGCUCGUCCACACAAGUUCUUUUUGGCAGGCAUUCAGCAGCGCUUCACAUAAUUAUCUGGAGAUGAUUUAUUUUGUUUUAUUUUGUUUAUUUGGUUUUAAGAUUGUUCUUAUUUAAUUUAGCUAAUUAAUUGUGUGUUGCAUGCUAUUCUAUUUCACAUAAUAAUAUCCAUUCUGAGUAACAGUUUAGAACAGUAGAGAACUAAGCCAUUGCAUAAAUUAAUAAAAGCUUUAAAUAAAUAAAUAAUGUAAUUACAGGAAGUGAAACCAUGAAAUGGAAAGGAAAAAUAAAUUCAUGCGGAACAUUGAAUUAAAUAACAUUAAUGAAAAAUCAGCCUAAAACUAAAUACUUAGAAAAGAAAUAACUAAAUUCCAUCUAUCUUUGGAUCUCUGGCCGGAGGAGAAAAAGAGUUAACACGAUGCCGCCAACAACGUAACUGACUUUGCGUUGCUGCUCAUGUAUCUAGGACUGCAUGCCUUCAAGGGUUGGAAAUUCUUCCCUGACCGGCGUGAAUGCAUCGACAUCAAGGCUUCAAUGACGGUUUUAAUAUUCUGUUACCUGGCAUAUCGAAUGUCGGAGCAUCAGGCACAUGGCUGUUCUUCGUCAGGACAAGGCUGAGCGAGGAGGAUCAAUAUCAUAGUAGCCGGAAGGUGUCUGAGGUCAGAUUCAGCAUGAGAGAUAUGGUCAACAUAGUGCCUCUUAGUCAUCACAAAUCUUAUGAUCCUUGGCAUGGAUUCAGUGGGAUCUAGCAGGGAGUAGGGGUUUCGUUUCCAGGGUUGUAAAGCCAGUUACUGCUGUUAUGAACGCCUAGUCUAUAAUCGGGCAUGGUGAAUUAAGAAAAAAGAACUGGUUAUCAAUCAUAAGCUCAAACUCAUCAGACCCUAGUUCGCUAUGAACAUGAGUGUUAAAGAGGAAGGGUUACUCCAUAGUAGUAAUGCCACAAAAAGGUUCAGGGUCAAGCAUAGGCUGACGCAAUCCAAUAGCAUUACCUAUUCAUGGUUAUUCAAACCGCCUAUUCUAAUGGGUGCUCGCUCAUCCUGGAUUAAGGUGGUCUAAUUAGCUACAUAAAAAGUAGCGCCGUGUACUUGGGACGGUUCUGGGAAGCACAAAAAAUAUGAUGAAGAGUUCAUUUCACGUGAAACUGAAGUACUAUUUGGCUUCUUUCCCGAAAUAAAAGUGUGGUCAGGAUCUUAUGGGAAAUAGCGAAAAGCCGGGUUAUGUAUGUUUCCAGAGAGAAACUCAUGUUCUUCGGGCUCAUCAUUUUCCACAGUCAAGCUUUACCCCAAAAGUGUUCAAGCUUCUCUUAUAUCAAAAAGUUCUUCCUGGCUUACAGUGAAUGUUUUCAAGGGAGGUAGAAACCCAAAAGUGUUGGUAAAGUCUCUAAUAUUAAAUUGGUAAUACUCCAUAUUUGAACAUUCUGAAUUGGAAUUAAAAACCUCUGCUAAUUCCUUUCCCCAUGGCUGGGGCAGAUAGAUUGGAACUAAGGUGGAAUUCUAGUGUGAGCCUCCGUAGGUGUGAAAUGUCUUAGGAAUUAGGGGGGAUGUCUCCCAUCUAUCUGAUUCAGUAAGAUACAUGACACUCUGUCUCAAUCCAAGGGCAGUCAUCGCCCAAUCAUCAGCAUAAGACCUUAGGUAGGCAUCUCUCUAGUCGGCUAGUUCUUCCAACUUUUGUUCUGAGCCAUUCCUCUGAACUUGGAUUACCCCAUACGAUCAAUUAUGUCCCAUCUGGUUAGUGUAGGCUAGAAGAAAAAGAAGGCAUGAGUUUAAGUCAGGAUUUGGGCCAAAUGCCGAAAAAGAAAGAAAAAUUAUUUAAUUAUGGGUAUAUUCCUUUUUUUUAUAUUUAUAUAUUGAAUAAAAUAAAAGAAUUGAAUACGUGAACAAAAAAUUAAAGAAAGAAUAAUUAAGAAAGAAAAAUAGUGAAAAAUGAAAUAUUGAUGAAGAAAUAGAACCUAAGAAAAUAGCAAACAAUUAAAUUGUGGGUGUCUGCCACCAAGGCGCUUUGUUUAUACGUCGCUAAAUGGCAUCGACAAGUAUGAAAUUGUAUAAAAUAAUAAAUUGAUUAGGGUCCUGGAAAGGCGUUUCGUCUAAGUGCUAGAAUUUGCGGAUCCUCGUUUGGUUUCCGCAUAGUGAUUAAUGUUUCAGACGUUGCCCGGCUUCCUACGGCUGACACGGUUCUGUAGAUUGUCCUUUUGUUUCUACCGCUUCCACUGGCGAAAGAUUUUAGUGAUAUGAAAUAUUAGUGUUGUCCUAACUUGACCAAUCGAGGAAGUUAGUGAGCGGGAUCGUAAGUUUUUUUCCCAGCCCGGGAAAUUUAACUUGUAGGUCUUAGGGGAGUUUAAAUAAAAGUACUGCGUUCGGCCUUUUGCUUGAAGAUUUUCCUUUGAUAUACGGGCUUGUCAUGCCAUUAUUUUGUUCUUUCUUUAUUAGAUUUUGGCAUUCAUAGGCGUCUCUUCUGACAGUUUCCUCUAAUUCGGAAAACACAACUGAAGAGUUGGAAUUUCGUAUCUCUCUCUCACUCAAAGCCUUCAUUCAUAACAACUAGCACUGCGAUUGAAGGAAUCCGUUCGUGUGGACUGAGUAGAGACGUUGUCAUCGUUCAAUGUCCGUGAUCGCCCCAUGGAUCUGUAUCAAAGGUUUUGAUCAUUAUCAGAAAUUUUCACCAAAGGUUUGAAUCGCCACAAGAGGUAACGAUUCUAUCACUGAUCAUGCCCAUUCGUAAGGAUCACUAAAUGGAGAAAAUUUUAAAAUCCGCUGCGCCUUGGAUGGCAAUUCUCCUACACCACGAACAUGUUUAUCAGCUCUCUUUCAAGAAGAGGGGGUUGAACCCUAGAAGCCAGGUCUCUCCAUCGUUGAGCGUACUCUUUGAACGAUUCAUCCGACUUCUAAGAAAGGCUUUGGAGCUGAGUCUGAUUGGGAGCCAUGUCUGAGUUAUACUGAUAAUGCUUCAAGAAGGCUUCAUCAAGUUCCCUCCAGGUUCGUAUAUGCGUGCGCUCGAGCUGCAUAUACCAUUCCAGGGAAGCUCCACUAAGACUGUCCUGGAAAAAGUGCAUUAAGAGUUUCUCAUCACUAGAAUGAGCGACCAUCUUUCUGCAGAAAGCUCGGAUGUGGGUCUUUGGACAAGUGACCCCUUGAUACUUUUCAAAGCUCGGGACUUUGAACUUGGGAAGAAUUUUCACGUCUGGCACCAGGCACAUGUCGGCAACAUCCAACCCAAAGGUAUCGGGACCUUGCAUCGCCUUGAAUCUCUCCUCCAUCAUUUGAAAUCUCCUUUCGAUGUCAGCGGGAGAAGGACCAAAAGCUUCAUAAACUGAGUCAGCCUUUGUAGUGAAGAAAGCGUCCUGCUGAUCGUCAAUCUUAGGUUGAAAUCUCCCAUUGGUAGGGAUAUUGAACGUCUGAUUAGCAUUUUGAUACACCGGACCUCUGUCAGGAGGUGGCUGAGGUACAACAGGCGUGUCAGCUCCUCCUAGUGGAUUCACCGGUAUAGUCACAACAGCAGGGUUGGCAUUAGAGGCUCUCAGAUUAGCCUGGUGCAUUUCCUCUUGUCCCCUAGCCAGAGCUUGUAGGGCUUCAACGAGCUGACCCAUCUGAGCCUUCACAGUGGUCAUAUCCUCCCUCAUAGCAUCCUGAUUCUGCUCCAACUGAUCCAUGAGCAAUUUCUGAUUAUUGCGCGUGUAGUAUGAAUGUCGGGAAGUCAGCUUGACUGUGGAUGAUUCUGGAUAGAAGGGUAAAAUGGUAAGUUUUCUAGCUUUUGUUUGAUGACAUGCAGAAUGAUGCAUGAAUAUUGCAUUUGAUUUUUUUUUAUGAUGCAUGAAUGCAUGAGUGAGUGAAUGAAUGAUACACAAGCAUGGUUCCCACGAGUCGAACACACAAAUUGGCAUGGUAUCACAGGUUCGAGAUACGGAUGGAGGAUAACUCUAAUUGCUUACCACAAUGGGGAUCUCACCGGUCGUAGUCUAGGGUUAGAUAGGGACCCUAGAGUCAUCGAUUCAUUUGGCUGUUUGGCGCUUACGGCAAAAGCUUGUCGGUCGUCAACUCCCUCAAAUGAGCCUCUUCUGGGUGAGAUCUUCGUACCGACCCACACGAGAAAAGCUUCUCAGGGGCCCGCACUACGCGACCAUCGAUAUCGGGUUCUAGACAAGGGUCUUAAAGUCAUGGACCUCCUUGACUGUUUGCCGCUUACAGCAAAAGCUUGUCGGUCGUCAACUCCAUCAGGAAAAUCUACUUUGAGUGAGAUCUUCGUACCGACCCACAGGAGAAAAGUUUCUCGGGGACCCGUACUACGCGACCAUCAACCUUAAGGGGCCAUAGGUUUAAUGUUCUACAAAGGUCCUUAGAGUCAUGGAUCCUAAUGAAGACAUUGAUCGCUUACGCCAAAAGCUUGACGGUCCUUAACGUCUCCAAAAGAAUCUACUCUAAGGGAGGUUCUCCUAUCGACCCUUACGAGAAAAGCUUCUCGGUGGCCCAUACUACUCAACCUCUCCUAUCUCAAGUUUACACUCUAGACUCGGGUAGAGAGUCUUUCCCACAAGGUUACUUGCAAUCGGAUUUGUAUCCAUCGAUACCAUAGAACCAAUGGAACCAAAAUUUAAAGCAAAAGGCGAUAAAAUAAAACAAGCAAUAUCAAAAGGAUAAGCACACACACACGAGGAAGCAACCUAGAUUAGGCUUGACUUGCUUAGGGAGGUGUCCCCAGCAGAGUCGCCAGCUGUCGCUACGCGAAAAAUACAGAGUCGCAUCGGUUUUUAUUUAUUCCAAAGGAAAGGGAAAUAUCGAGAAAACCCCAAAGUAUGGUCGUCGCAACCACGAACAGGUUCGGAAGUCGGUUAUGCAAGGGGAAGGUAUUAGCACCCCUCACAUCCAUGGUACUCCAUGGGAACCAUCUAGGAUGUUUGCGCUUACGUGUGUAUUGUUUAUCGAAUGCUUGCUUGCUAAAGGUUUGCGGAGAUGGAGGUAGAUUUUAAAUUAGUGUGCUCGCCAAGGAAUGGAUCCUCGUGCCUACGUAUGCCCACUUGUUGAAGUGAGAAAUUAGAGCCUUCGUAGUUCGUGGUUUUGAAAUUGUUUGGUUUGUUUUGUUGAUUUUAUUACCUUGAAGAAGGAUUUUCGAUUGGUGUCGCCCUAAGGCUCAAACAAAAGGUUUAAAUGCGUUGAGUUGUUUUUAAGUUUUGAGAAAGUAUUAUUGAUUUCGGAUUGCACUAAAGACUAUGGAUAAAGGUGAAUACCCCAAACUACCAAGCCAAAUGUCUUGUGUUCGAAGCAUUCAGAAUGAGUGUAGGAAAGCUCCAGUCUCAUCCCUUCUUUAUCGCUUAAGGCUCGUGACGUACGAUCCUAAUCGCCAUUUAUUGUAUUUUUGAGUUUGAUUUAGAAAAGACCGCUUGACGUUGGAUCAAGGAAGUCUCAUCCCUUCUUUAUCGCUUAAGGCUCGUGACGUACGAUCCUAAUCGCCAUUUAUUGUAUUUUUGAGUUUGAUUUAGAAAAGACCGCUUGACGUUGGAUCAAGGGUUUGUUUAUUGAAUUUGAAUUUGAUUAUUGGUUGUGAAAUGGUGAACGUUCCUAAUGCCUAAGGAGUAGCUAACAAGCAAUAAAAGAAAGCAAGUAAAUGCGUACAUCGGAAAGGGGAGGGGGGGUACAUGUAAAGUACAAGGGAGUGUAGGAAAUAAAAGAUCUCAUUGUCAGGUAGCCCAAGAGAAAGCCAUGUGUGUGUAAUUAUGUCCUAAACUAGAAAGCAUGCAAAAUUAUCCUAUGACGCACGUGAGAUGCCACCAGCUGAAUCCACUACGGACGAAAACAACUUGUGAAAACGAAUCCAACGAUUCUGAUGACGCACGUGAACAAACUCUAGGUGCGAUCCUUCCACCAUCGUCCCCACGCCCUUCUCACACGCAUUCACAGCUUUUCCGUGCCGGAAAUCUUCUCCGGUGCCAGGGGAGUCCAAAGACCUUGAUUCAGUCAUUGCUGCAUUCGCCUCGUCCUCUUCUCUCAUCAUCUCAAGCUUGCCUUCUCCGAUUCCGUCUCUAUUAGGAAAAUUGAACCAAGCAACAUCCCGAACCCUAACUCUAAAAUCCUAAAUUACAUGAAAACAAGGAGGAAUCGAAGCCUCUCCUGUCAGGGCCUUGAUUCCUCACGCCACAAACUAUACACCGGUAACUCGAGCACAGGGUAAUGGAGGAAGAUAAACCUACCUACGGAUCGGCGACUUGCUCCGGCGGAAAAGGUGACGUAAGUGAAGAGAACAACGACGAACAACACCAGAGGCUCAGGUGAUCGCUACUGCUAUAUCCUUUCCGCUUUCAUAGCAUUCUUCUUCGUCUCUCAGCUCUUUAACUUUCCGUUUUUUCUGUCACGAGCUCUGCUAUGAGUUCGUUAGAUGCUGUUGGAGCAAGGGUGGUUAUGGAGUUAAAAGGUGGAUAGAGGAUUCGAAUUAGGAUGAAGGUGAAGGGAGUGAAGGAGUCAAAAAUGAGGUUGAAGGUGGAGGAAGGUUCAGUGAAUGGAGGUUACGGUUAUGGAUUCACAGUGGUUGAAGGUUUGGCGAAUGGAGAUUACGGUUAUGGAAGUUGUAAGAAGAAGAAGAAUCUGGAAGGGGCUUGAGAGAGGUGAAGAUUGACUUAUAUAGGGUUGCGUUUCAUUAGAAGAAGUUAGGAAGUUUGUUAGAUUUGUUAAUGGAUUCUGAAAUUAUGCAGGUUAAUUUGUUAUUUAUGCAGUGAAUUUGUUAUUGAAAUGGCUUACACCGCCGGCUCAAUUGGCUUGUGUAUACUAGCUUAUGAUGGGAGCAACAACUUGUGUCUGGAGCUGUUAGUUUGUGCAAGCUUCGAUAGCGGCUUCUUUCUCUGUUAUGCUGCAGCUGGUGUUGGCAUUGGCUUUGAUGGUUAUCGCAUUGCACGACUUAGCUUAGGGAGCUUUUGGAUUGUAUGCAACAGCUAGAUGCCCAACGUAGUCUUCAAACAAUUCACUUCCAAAGAGCAGGGCAAAGACAACCAUUGGGUCAAGCAUAGUUUCUCUAGAUACAGAAUGCUUUCCAUUUUGAUCAUACCCUUUCCUCUGCACUGGAUCACUCAAAACUUGAUAUGCUUCGCCCAAAAUCUGGAACUUAUGUGCAACAUUAGGAUCGUUUUGGUUUCUAUCAGGAUGAACUUGCUUAAUGGAUAUGGUAAAUUGGACAUUUGGUUAAUUGGUUAUUUAGAUGUUCAAAUGGGUUAAUUUGUUUUUAUGAAUAUGGAUGGAGUUUGGAUAGUUGAUAAUUGGAUAUGGAUAUGUAAAUGGAUUAUUGGAUUAAAUUGGAUAAUGGGCUUGGAAAUAAAUGGCUUUAAAAUAUGGACAUUGGAUUAAUUGAAAUAAUGAAUGUAUUUCAAAUGUGGAUUAUGGAAAUUUGGAUUAUAAAAUAAAAAGGAUGUGGAUUUUUGGAGGAUGAUUAAACGGGCCAAGUUUAUGGGCUUAAAAGAAAAGAAUGAGAAUGGUCUAAAAAAAGAUUAAGAAUCUAAAAUUGAAUCGAAACCGACAUAACUAUUUUAAAAUGAUGCGAACCUAAAAUUGAAUUAAAAACCCAAAGAUCGAUUUUACUUGAAAGUCAACCUGACAUUAAAAAUCAAAUUGAAUAUAAUACACCGCCUAGGACUAAUUUGAAAGAGAUGAAAUGAUUUCCAAAAUUGAAUUUCAAUUCCACAAAUUAAAUGAAUGAACAAUCGAACCACUCAUGCACCAGGAACACAUGCAUUCAAGCCACGUGUCUCUUAGUGGUGAACCAUGCUUAUUCAAAUGAGAUGAAUGUAUACGGAUGAUAUGCAAAUAUUUGGGAUUAGUGACCUAUAAGAUUAAGUGACGGGUGGGGCGAAUUUCAGGGUAUGACAACCAAUAUAUAAGAAUAAAUAUUAAAAAAAAGCAAACUAUAUACUUACUAUCUAAAAUAAACAUAAACUAGUAUAUGAAGAUCACAUUUAACCAAAAAUAAAAAUACAUUAAAUGAAGCAAUGUAACUAAAUGAAACAAUAAUUAAGUAAAUCAUAUACUCCAUGAAAUAUCAUAACUAAAUAAAAAUAAUGCUAAAUGAAAAUUAAAUAAAAAAGAAAAUAAACUAAAGAAUAAAUAAUUAAAAAAAAUGGUUUAAGAAAAAGGAAAAGAAGCAUGUUAUAUAUUUUGUUCAGGAACUUGAACUGUGAGUUGGAGGUUGGAAGAAUCUUGUUUUUUUGUUAUGCAUGAGGUGGGGUUAUUCGAAUGAACUGUGACGGAGGUAAUAUGCAACACAUUUUUUUCUCUUAUGUUCUCUUUUCAUAAAUGAGAGAGAGGGAAUAUUGUUGUGUGAUUAAGAUAUGUGACUUUCAAUGUCACCCAUGAAAAAUGACCAUGGUCUUCCCCUUUUACUUACUAUGAUUUUCUUUGGUUAAAAAAAUGAAAGAAGAAUCUAUGAGUGUGCCGCUGAGAGCUUAUGGGUGUGUCCACCGUUCUUCUCCGGGUUGUCUAAUCACAUUAUAUAGAGUAAACCAUUAGGGUUUCCACUUUUAUAUUAUUCCCAAACAACCCUUAGAUAUUUAUCUUUAGAGUCAAAAUCAAUUAACAUAAGUUAAAACUACAUAAAAUUAAAUACCUUAAAAUAAUCAUAAUAAAAGCGGAAAAAAAUUAUAGUUAAUUCUAUUUAUUUAUUUUGAAUAUUUUGACAAAAAAUGAAAAAUAAAAUGAUAAAAAAAUGAAUAAAAAUCUAGCGCAAAAAUGCUCAAUACAAUAAACAGAAUACACCAAAAUGAUCAGCGCGAAAUAAACUUCUCGAAAACAUACAUGUUUUGAUCAAAUUUUAAAAUAAAAAAUGAUUAGUUAAAAGGCUCAUGAUGAUCAAGAUGUGACCGAAAAAUUAGUUGAAAAACAUAAAAUGAGUACGUCAGGUUAAACUACGCAAAUCGUCGGUUAAUAAAAUUGAUGUCUGCAAGUUCGAUUUUGAAAAUUUUCAACCGCUAAUCUGACACACAUUUGAAAAUUGAUUCAAAUGAUUUGUCUGUAGAUCCAAAAAGUUAUUAUGGGUGAUAUUUUGAGUAUUAUGCAAGAUGAAAUGCAUGUUAUGUUAUGUAGAUGAUGUAAAUGUCAUGAUGAAUGUACUGAUUCAAUAAUUCAUGGUCAAAAUUGGGAUAUGACAGUUGCCCCUGUUUAAGUAUCUUCGACCAGAGAAUAUGAAUAAGGUUACUCAUCAUAUGAUCAUGGUUGGAGGUAGUUAAAUAUGAAUAAUACCCGAAUUUUAUCCCUGAAUGCUAAUGAAAUGUUAUGAAUUCAUGAAAAACCUUUUUUGUGUUUUGUUUGUUAGGGAUAUGAUGCGGUAUAAGAUGAACCUGACAUGAUGCUUUAUGAUGGAUGAUAAAUAGGCUUAUGGGGAAAUAUGGAAAUAUGGUAUUGGUGAUCCACAUGAGACACAUAAAGAUGAAUGGUUGAAGACUCAUUGGGGAUAACAGAUUGCUGGGGAAAAUGAAUUGACUGAAUGCCAGACGGUGUUGAACUUUAAAAUUACCGAAUUCCAAACAGCGUUGGACUUUAAAAAUUGACUAAAUGUCAGACAACAUUGGACUUUAAAAAUUGACUGAAUGCCAGAUGGCACUGGACUUUAAAAAUUGACUGAAUGCUAGACGAUGUUGGACUUUAAAAAUUGAUUGAAUGCCAAACGAUGUUGGCUUUAAAAAUUACUGAAUUCUAGACGAUGCUGGACUUUAAAAAUUGACUGAAUGCCAGACGACACUGGACUUUAAAAAUUGACGAUGUUGGACUUUAAAAUUGGACUAAAUGUCAGAUGACAUUGGACUUUAAAAAUGUAAUACCAUGCGAGGCUGGACCUGACCGCAUGCAUCAAUAAAAUAAUUACUGGCUAAACAAAGUUUGCCAAAUAACAUUGGACUUGACUGAAGGUAUCAGUAAAAUAAUUACCAGCUACAACAGAGUUUUCCAAAUAACAUUGGACUUGACUGAAAGCAUAAGUAAAAUAAUUAUCGGCUACAACAAAGUUUGCCAAAUAACAUUGGACUUGACUGAAGGUAUCGAUAAAAUAGUUACCGACAACAAUAGAGUCUGCCAAAUGACAUUGGACUUUGAUUGAAGGCAUCAGUAAAAUAAUUGUCGGUUACAACAGAGUUUGCCAAAUAACAUUGGACUUGACUAAAGGAAUAUUUAAAAUAAUUACCGACUACAGUAGAUUUUUCCAAAUAACAUUGGAAUUUGAGGUGAAUUUCUAGAUGAGAACUGGACUUAAAGGUUAGAUUACCAAACAAGAAGUGGUGUUUUGUCUUUUUUUUGUUUUUUGUUUGUCAGACGAGAACUAACUUUUAGAUAGUUUACUAGAUGAGAAUUGGUCUUAUGAUGAUUUAUUAUUAGACGGGAACUGAUUUUGAAAUAGGAUACCAUACAAGAACUGGUUUUGAAAAGAAAACUAACUACCAGACGAGAACUGAAUUUCAGAUAGGCUACCAGUCGAGAACUGGUUUUAAUAAAAAAGCUACCAGACGAGAACUGGUUUUAAAAAUUGUUUGUCAGACUAGAACUAACUUUCAAAAGAUUUACUAGACGAGAACUAAUAUUUGAUGUUUUAUUUUUCAUGCUAUGGGCAUAUGCUCGAUGAAUGAGAUGACAUGAAAGGCUUAACGCUAGAGCGAAGCGACAUGAUUAAUGCAUAUGGAUGAUUUAUGCGAUGAUUUGAAGGUUUCUAAAGAUGCCCCUGUGUGGGUGAAGAAUGGAAAGGUUCUUUUGCAGCAAAACUUCUUUGACAAAAAGCAAAAGGUUAUUUGACGGGAUGAUAACAUGAUUUCUUAACACUCAUUUUGAACUUAACAGUUAUUGACGUAUGGCAAAGCUUGCUUGAGCAGCUUGAAGGCCUGGAGAUGACUUUCCCAUCCGUGGCUCAUCUUGCCCUAGUUUAUUGGGUCUUUGAAGAAUUUCUCCUCAUAAAGAUUUUGGAAACAACUUGCCAUGACCUUGAGGUAGCUUUCCCCAAUACUUAAAUAUUGAAGCGAUUUGCUCUUGACUAACCCGACUCUUGGGGUGAUUGGCUCAGAUUAACCAAUGCUCAAAGUGAUUCCCCUGACUGGACUUCUUUCACUUGAUCAAGUUCCUUAACUAACUAUAUAUUGUUGGGAUUCCCUUGAUGCUAAAUGUUGACUUGCAAAUAAAAUAGUUCAUUCGAAAAUAAUAAUUUCAAUGCAGUGCUUAUGCAAAAUUUUGAAAUCAAAGUUUAUUGACAUCAACAAGGCGAAACACGGUGAACGGGUCAAUGAUCAGAGCAGAAUGUUGAUCUAGCCAUUCACGUGCAAGAUGGUGUGAUCAAUACAAAUGAUUAACAAAGACCUUUGGAGUCAGGUUAACGCAACCUUGUUGAAGUAUGCUUCCAGAAUAAACUCUGCCUCAAUUAGGUCUUUUAAGGGUUGUAAUGUGGUAUGGUUCACGAUUUUCAAAACAAAAUGAUAUAAGACUAAAAAAUUUAAUUUUAACCCACCCCUUCUUCUUGAUGAUCUCCAGUUCCUACGUUCAGCUAAUUCGACACACGCAUUCGACUUCGAAGUGUGAUGGUGAAGAUGAGGAUUCAAGAUGAUAUUUUCUUGAAAAGACAUUCACCCUAUUUUUUUUUGUUGAGUAUUUGAUGAAUUCUUUUGAUUGUUUUUUAUCCCUAAUUUUUCCUGGACCGCCUUUUGAAGUUUUCUGUCCACCGGGAUGCCUUGAUUUUGCCUAAGUCAUCUUUUGUGGUGUUUGACUUAGAAGACUUUUCUUUUCUUUUGAAAGAAUGUGUCUGCCAUGUUAUGGGUCACCGAGGAAAAACCACUAUAACUUUUGACUUUUUCACGACUUCUUCGACACUUUGUGGUGUGUGCGAAGUGUGUGGUUAAUCCUUAGGUGGAAGGUGUAUAGAUGAACUGAUUCUCUUGAAAGUUGAAUGCAUAAUCAAGAUAUCUGAACGCAACUACCUUUCCCCAGGUUAAGAUGAAGGGUUUUUAAUGCCGAAAUAAACACUAACUUCUAGGCUCAAAGGGGUUGACUAGGGAUUAACUCCUUAUCUCUUCAGUGUUUGGGGGUUUGAAACAAUGCUUUACAUCAUCGACAAAUUUUUCUUCAAAAGCAUACCACAACAAUUUCAGGUAUAUAGUUUUCAUCAUCCUCCCUCCAAUCUUUGUUUAAACAUAAGUUUGCUAAAAGAGUGAAUGAGAGUAAUAUUUUAUGUUUUUUUUGCAUAUAUGAAGGAAAAAUAGUAAGAGUUAAUAUGAAUGGGCGAGAGGUUGAUGUUCACCAUCAGGUUUCCUUCUUAAAAGGCUAUAUACGUUUUUUCAAUCAACUGUUGAACCUUAGCAUUGAAAGCUUUGCGAUCCUUAGUUGAAUGCCCUAUUGAGUCGACAUGAUAUCCACAUUGCACAUUUGGAUCAUACCCAGGUGGGUAUAGUUGUGGCAACGACUUCAAAGGUUUAGGAUCCACCAAUGAGCUUUAAAUUAGAGGCUGCAGAAGUUAAUUGUAUGUCAUAGGAAUUAGGUCGAGAUGAUCAUUCCUUAUUUCCAGAUUAUUACGAGGCCUAUGUUGGUUCUGAUGUUGAUUAUGAUAUCCUCGACCUUGGGCUUGUUGAGUUGAAUGAGGAGCGGUCUAAGGUUGUUGGUAUGAUGCUCUAGGCACUGUUGGAUGCCUAUAAGGAUAACAUGACACUGGAAAUGAUGAUCGCUAAGAAGAUGAAUGACCAUAAGGUUUUGAUAGUGCACCAAAAGAAUACUCGACAUCUUCCAUAACUGCAUUGGUUUCAUCCUCUUCUUCGUUUUGGGAAAUGUUGAGGAAUUCAAUCUCACUAGCCUGGCUACUCGAGGCAUUUUGGAUUCUUCCAUUCUUGAGACUGCUCUCAAUAUGUUCUCCAACUUUCACCAGGUCAGAGAAGCUUGAAGACACAAUGGCUGACAUUCUUUCUAAGUAUGAUAUCAACAAGGAAUCAUUGAACAUUUCAACCAAUUCCAUGUCUAAUAGUGGUGGUUGCACUUGGUAUGUUCUGUCCAUCGUUGCACAUAUUCUCUGAAGGAUUCAUUGAUCUUUUGAUAUAAGCUCUACAACUGCCUCCAAUCUGGAUCCAUGUCCAAGUUGUAAUUGUACUGCUUCAAAAAGGCGUUGGCUAAAUCUUCCCAAGACUGGAUGUGGAUUUUUUUCUAGUAUCAUGUACCAACUCAAUGAUGCCUUGCUCAAACUGUCUUGAAAAUACUGAAUCAACAACUUAUCGUUGUAAGUGUGAGAGGUUAUUUUUUGACAGAGCAUCAUCAAAUGGUGCCUUGGACAGCUAUCCCCUUUGUACUUCUCAAAGUUGGGUACUUUGAAUUUUGGGGGUAUCAUCGGGUCUAGCACCAAACAUAUGUCAUCAAGUCUCAAUGUGUUAAAGUCUUUCAUAGUCCUCAUUUGCUUCUCAAGAUCACGACCUAUUUCUACAACUUCAUCCACUUGAUAAUGCUCAAUUCUUGUCAUUAGGUGGGCACCUUUGGAAUUUGGCAUGUUCCUUGUGACUUGAGGAUUCCCAUCAUCAUUAUGAACAAUUGCAUUCUUCUGCACCAUGGGGACUUCAUUAGAUAUCGGGAUAUGCCCCGAAUGAGGUUGAGUAGGAAUGCCCACUUCUUGAAGAGCAUAGUCAGGGGGAAGAUCAUACGUCAGGUUAGUCACCACAAUAAAGCCUGGUAGGGGACUGACAUUCUCUACAUCACCAUAUUGAAGAUUUGACAUAGCUACCACAGGUUCCAACAUCUGAUCUACUUGGCCUUUUAAGUUGUAUAUAUUCCUUCUUAUCUUCACUUGAUCUUGCUUCACAUGCUCUAUCAUACUUCAACAACUAUCACAGGUUCAAUAUGGGUAUCAAGAAAUUAAAUGUGGAAGUGGACAAAGGAGGAAUGUGUUUUUUGAACAUGAUAUGUAAUACAUGCUGAUGA
rnacentral:lncRNA from 1 species